rnacentral:lncRNA from 1 species
GGGGGGGGGGGGGGGUGGUCCAAGGCAGCGGUGGAGAGGAGAGGAGCUGCUGCGGCGCGCCGCCCGUUGGUCCGGCGGCCAGGAGAGUUGGAGGCUUCUUGUUUCCGGCGUCGGUCCAGGUGGGGGGCCCACCACGACGGCAGGUGGUUUGGGCCGAGUUAUACUUGAGCAGAGUUGCCCAGGAUCAGAAAAGAAAAAAAAACGAAGAGUGUUCGAAAAAAAAACUACUCGGCCAGACCAAGUUCUCGGGUUAAUACGCCGGCAAGCGUGUAGGACUCCUUUAGGAGGAGAUAAGUUUUUUUAUUUUAAGGUUGUUUAUUUAUCUUUAUGCGCUAGUGUUUAAACCUAUAUUCCUCUUCCACUUAAAUGCAAGGCAGUGCUCCUGCCAAUGUUUAAAAAAAAAGAGAGCAAAACUUUAUAUACAGAAAAAGAAGGCUAACAAUAUCCACUGCAGAUAGCACCCACAUAUGGAAACUAUGGAGAGUAUUUCUCAAGAGUGCUCUUGUGCCACAAUUUCUAGUAAUUUCCUAACUACAAAAGGCUUGUAAUUCCUAAUUUUGCUCUAUUUUGUCGAUCUGCGACUGUGACUCUGACUGUUAGCAAUCUGCAACCGUGUCUACUCAACGUCCAUUGUCCGAUCGGCUAUACUGAAAUCAUGUGUUGCUAUUGCUCCCCCAUGUCAGUGUCAUUUCUCCCAGAAUUAAUUAGACCUGCAACGAAUUCACCUACUUCAUCCGUUCCAAAUUAUUCCAAAUUGUAUUCCAAAUUGUAGGUCGUUUUGAUUUUUUAGUUUCAUAGAUAUUAUUAUGCACCUAGACAUAGUGUAUAUCUAAACUAAAAAGUUAAAACGGACUAUAAUUUGGAAAGAAGGAAGUAUUUAGCAUUAGUAACAGUGCUGCAGGUUUUAAAUUGCCUGCUCUGGCUCUCUGGAAUGUGUUGCAUGUUCGGCUAUAUUCCUUUUCUUAUUUUCUUGAGCACCCUUUGCAUCCCUGUACAUUUUUAUUCUCUCAAGAUGGAUGUUCCAAAGUGUAUUACGUGCUUCCUUUGAUGUUUACAUCAAUCAGGAUCUUCCUUGUUCAACUCAAGUUUUCCCCAGGUGAAACUGGGCCUAGCCUUCUCAAUGAUUUCCUUCAUGAAAUAACCUUUUUCUUGAAUAAGAAAAGUUUUUUUCCUAAAAAAACAUUGCAGUAACCACACACAAAAUUAAUGCUUCCAUCACUAAUGGAAAAAGGGUACAUCCUACAGCAUGAAGAAACCUAUGCAGCUUCCUGCUAAGGGAACUUAAACACAAGCAACCACAAGUAAUAACUCACAAAAGAUGUAGCAUCGCAUAAAAAGUACUAGAUUGCUCAGGAUGGGUACUGAUGUGCAUCAAACCAUGGAUUAUUUCAAAGCACAAAACGACAAAGUAACCCACAAGGUACCAGCAGAAAAAACAAGGGUCACCAUUUUCUACUGCUACUAACUAAAGCUGCUCCCUGGAGAUGAUAUGGACCUUCAUGGUAAGCUUCUUCUGGUUCUUCUUCAGUUCGAACAAGCAGAUAUCACCGGCUCGCAGACCAUUGCCACGAACAAAUUUGGGCCAGCCUCCGCUUAGAAACCACCUGCGAACCCUUUGAAACACCAUUUUGAUCUUCCAUAUCUUUCCCAAGCAGUGGAGCACCAUGGUUUGCCCUUUAGCUGGAAGAUGCACAGCAGCAGCAUAUCGCGAACCAAAUUCCUGAUGAGUUACAGAUGGAGAAUUUAGGAAAACAUUGGCAGGUUGACAUUUGAAGGAUUAAGUUUUAGGUUUAUACUAUUGACUUUGUAUGGUUAAUCUUCUUGGGUGGAAUAAGUUAUCUCAAUUAUGUGGUAACAAAUACUUUGCUGAUACAAAAGCAGAUGAACCGCCUGGCAUUCAUACGAACAAAAAGUCAUGUCCACCUUAAACAGGUUAAGAUGAACGGAACAAAACCUGAAGAAUGGAAAACAUAAUUCAAGAUAAAAAAGAAUUAAACUUACUUGCAUGUAAGCAAGGCUGCUCUUCGUCAUGAUUGCUACGUAAAUUGGAACCUCACAUUGGAUGUCUCGCACUCUCUCUUCAACAAUCUUCUUUUGGGAUUUAGAUAGACGACUCUUGCCUGGUAAAAUGUAGGGAGGUUGAGAUGGACCACCAGAGUCCUGGCCGCUCUCCAGAGAUUCAUGAGAAAUUUCAUGCAUGUCACUUUCCAAGGAAACAUGUUCUCCUGCAGAUAGGUUUAGGCUGUAAGAAAGGAAUAAUUCAAAAUGCAACUGACUUUCUACUAUUUUGCUACAAUACCGUCAGUUGGUUCCUCCUUAUGGAUUUCUGAAGCCAUAUUUGCACUAGGUGCAGCAAGGCAUGGGCCAACCCUUUGAAAACCAGCUCCACGCCUGCCUGAAUGAGUAGCUGUUGCACGAAGUAGGUAGACUAUAAACGUGAAUCUCCCGCCAUUUGUCGGUAAAAAGAGGCAGAUAUCUCUCUCCUGCACAUGAUUGUCACGGACAAAGUCUAACCACUGCCCUCGAAGCAUGUACACGCUCCUAUCUUUUCUUGUGUAGAAUUUGGGAUGCCACUUUUUGCUCUUGCCUGGUCUAUGAAGCGUGACAUUUGCGUUUCCAUGUGGAAAAUGUGCAAAUGCAUAUUCCUUGGUAAUAGCCUGAUUAAAGAUUGAACAUGAUGUGAUGUAAACGAACAACCAAGAAUAUUAAACAAAAUCAUUUCAGUUGUCAGUAAAAGGUUUGUUCAAAAAAAAUAUGUUCGUUGUCAGUAAAUGAAAAAAAGUAUCAUUUGUCUGCAGUCCACACAUGUUUAGAAGGCUCAUGAGAAUUUGAAGAGAUAAUUGAAUUUCACCCAUACUUAUGGCAGCAUGUACUGCAACAGCUACAACAAAAGAAUUAAUGUUGGGAGGAGUGACUUGCUAUUCGACAGAAGUGAACUUACGACAAAAGGAUUCGGGGGAUGAACAUGGCACUUCUGCAUGACUGCAAUGUAAACAGUAAUUUCAGGUUGAAUCUCCUGGAUAAGCGCAAUUACUCUCUCCUUUUGUUCUUCAGAUAAAUGACUUCGACAUGAUAUAACAUAAUCUGCCCCUGGGGGAGUCUGAAGAUCAUCUGACUCAAAAGAUUCGUUUUCAGAUGGAAUGUCAUCUCCUGCACAAAUUAACACAACAGGCUACAGGAAUAAGCAGCAUAAAUUCUGAGUCAAAUAUGCAAGUAACUUAAAUAACUGUAUUACCUGACCCGCCAGAUGAUGAGGAUGUUACAGCCAUCUUUGAUGUUUUCCCGUGUCGAUUGGAGCUACCCUUCACACACCUAGCAGCUCUUUCACUUCCUGACGAUUCUGUGGUAUCAUAUUGAGAGCUGCUUGAAAUAUCAACAGAAUCUACACUUCUUUUUCCAACAUUUGGUGUAGUUUUUAUGCCAGAACAGCAAAACAUUUUCUCACAACCAUCAGAAUCAAGGAUCAGAACCUUGAAAACAGAGUUCUCAAUGUUCCGAAACAGCAAUGAAUCAUUCUCUUCUAUAUGAUGGGCAUCAACAAAUGCCUCCCACCCAUGCCUUAGCACCAUCUUCCUAUAACGUUCCGUAACUUCAACAUCAUAUAGACUACCAUUAGCGGAUUCUAAUUUGAUAGUUCCAGACAACUUUCCUGCGAAAUGCUUCAGAAAUCUGUUCGGUAUGGUCUGUAAUAAUAUCAAAAGGAAUUGAUGUAACUAGAGUAGCUCCUUGCCAGACCAACCUUAAACAAUGUAAUCUAUGACAUGUUAAUCAGGAAUCAUAAGUAAACAGAUAUUGGUUACAUGGGUAGUUUCAACACUGGCGGUCAGUAGAACCCACACCACGAAACAUAUACUCAUGAGAUGCACAGAAACCAGGAGGUGCAACAUUUAAUUAACAAUACAGCAUCUAUACUAUUCAGAUUGACAUGAUUUGUCAACCAUCAGAAGAUUUGUAAGGCAAAACAAAAUGAUGAGCAUCAUGUGCGUGCGAUUGAUGCAGAUGUUAUCUACUUUACUCAGCAAGUAGUAAUAAUCAGUAUGUGCAACGAUGCUAAGAUACAUGAAAAGCUUUGCCUAAUGUGGCACGAUAUAGAAGUCAACACUUGAUGAACCUCUGCAAUUUAAAUUAUCUCUCACUGUGAUGACCAUCGUAGGGGUGUUACUUUUCCCAAUGUUCAGGUAGCAGUAACACACCAUUCAGUUUGGCUAGCUCAAAUCAAGUUAAUCAAAGUGCUAAGUACAGUUCCCACUUUCUAAAUCCAAAUUUACGUUGGUAUGGAAAUAUGAAAAAGACAAGGUAUGAUAACAAACAUAUCAAACAUGGGGAACGAUUACCAUGCUAUGUUUAGUAUUGGCAGUCAUCCGCAUGAGGAAGCAGCUCAUUGUUUGAUUCUUUUCAUCCAAAUGGUCCAAGUACUUUUGGCAGCAAUCACAAGGUUUCUUCAUUCGGGAACCAUCAUUCCUACCCAUGUCAACUGGAAUUAUUACAGUUUAUAUUAGAUGCAUAUUCAAUUAGAAAUCUUUGAUGCACUACUCGCACGUUUCCAGUAGAACAAAAUCUUAACACCACAUCACGAAGGUAGUUUGCCUCCAUAAAGACGAGUUCCUUGACAAAGGAAUCACCUUUCUUUUUUCUGGAGCACAUUACAGAGGUUGCAACUCUUUGCUAUGCAUCGUUCAACAAAGCAAUGUGAAUUACAUUUAGAUGCUGCAAGCCUGCAAUCGAGCACCCAGAAUAUAACCUAUUCUGGAAAUCAGCUCAAAAGAAGCGGUUCAUAUGCUACUACCACAAAAAACCAGGCUCAAAAUCAAACAAGAACUACCAUGCAAAUGGCUGAAUAAAUCGAAGUUUCUCUUCACUCGCUCUCUCUUACAUUACCGAUGCUCAUAGGAGAAGAGAAAACGCCUUCACCUUUGCGUAGCAGCUCCACCGAAGAAUGGUGAUGCAGAGGAUAAGCCCCAAAGCUACUAGGACCAUAUAUACACGCACAAGCCAUGAAGCCAGUCAUUCAUCAUUACAUGGAUAGAAAAAACAAGUGGUGGAUGCAGAGGUAAACAUUUCUCUUUUGGAAAGAACUUGAUGGAAUGACAGUACAGCAAAAGAUGGCAGGGAAUCUGCAGAAGCUGUCAUGAUUUCCUCUCCUAGCAACUAGCAAUCCCAAGAAAUGAAGAAAUGGAGUACACUUGAAUUUCUAAUUCAGUAAUAGAUUCCGCAGUACAAUAGAAUAAGAAUUAAGAAAUGUAGUAUACUGUGGCACAGCAGAUGAAACAACUUGAAGAAAUGGAAUGGUAAUAUUACAAAGAAAAUAAGGUACCUAAGUUAAGGUUUUCUAUGCAUGCCUAUGCCUGUGUCCAAUCGCUUCUCCAGAGUUGCAGCAAUCACUCCUUGCAACACGGUACGUCGAUAUCGACCAUUUGUGAGGGGAGAAGAACAUGGAGCCCAGGAGUCGGAAGCAUUUCAACUUCCAAGUGCAUUUAAUCGUAUGAGUUAAAGCCCUCACAGACGUGAUGAUUAAUGUGGGGGAAGUUGGAGGGACUAAAAGAUCAGAAAAUAUGCUCAUGUGAACUCAGCCACGAGCCCAUAGAGAACACUGACGACUUCAGAAUCUUUCAGGGGAUUUCCUGGGCAGCAGAGUAAUAUACCAUCGAGUCUUUUUUUUUUAACGAACCGGAGAGCUGCUAAUUAUAUUAACUUUACAAACUGUAGGCUUGGCCUGGAAAAAGAAAAACGAAAACAAACAACCGCGCGGCACAGGACAUGUUAGGUCCGGCCAGCAAGAGUGGCGAGGUGAUUAGCCCCCGCCAUAAUCCAGCUAUCUAAGUCAUCUCUAACUCUGAAUAAAACAUUGUCGCUUGUUGCUUCUUUUCGAUAAAAAAUCCUGGCGUUUCUUUCCUUCCAGAUUAUCCAGGAGGUUAACAUGAUUAAGGAGCACAUGCCUUUGCGCGAGCUGGUAGCCGAUCUUGCCAUUCUUGUCCACCACUCAUGUAGGUCACCAUCUUGUUGCAUCCAUUCCCUCGGGUGCACUGUUGGGAUUGCUAGCCAUUCCGAGAUUGAUGCCCAAAUCUUCUUAGUGAAUCUGCAGUCGGCAAGGAGGUGUAUCGCCGUUUCAGACUGAUUCCUACAGAGUGGGCACGUUGAUUGGUUCGCCCAGCCUCUUGCUUGUAGUCUGUCUGCUGUGCACAGCCUGUUUUGAACGGCCAGCCAGUAGAAAAUCUUGCAGCUUGCGGACGCCCACGUCCGCCAAAUGAGCGUGUCAAAAUUUGUUAUCACGGAUCCAAGGAACUGAGCAUUGUAAGCCGAUUUGGGCAAGUAGUUCCCAUCGGCCGUGAGUUUCCAAGUGAUUUCGUCCUGCGUCCCCUAGUUUAGGUUGAUGGUUUGGGUUGCCUUCCAUAGGUCGAUAAAUUGUUGUAGGUGUUGUAGUGAGAAGCCUGAAUGAUGGAGGUUGAGGUCCUUAAUCCAGUUGGAGUUCGUCAAUGCAUCGCUAGCAUUCUUUGUUUUUUUCUUGGAGAUCAUGAACAGAUUCGGCGCGAAGUCAAUUGGCCUCCGACCUUGAAACCAGCCGCUGUGCCAAAAGGAUGUCAUAUUCCCGUUGCCAAAUGUUAUUGUUGUUGCUGCCGCAAAAAGCUUCUUGUCUGUUUUGUUGCACGGGAUCCCCGAUCCUAUCCACGGCUUGUCCUGUUCUUUUCAUUCUUGCCAUAACCACCGUAGCCUGAGACUUCUAGCAAAUUGCUUGAGGUUGAGGAUGCCCAGGCCACCCAACCGGGUUGGCCGGGCGGAACGUAUCCAGUUCACUUUACAUUUCCCACCCGUGAUUGCUACCGCGCCGGCCCAAAAAAAUCUCUUCCGUAUGGUGUCAAUUUCUUCCAGUAUAGCUUUAGGCGCAUCCAUUGCUAUUAGGAGGUAGACUGACUGUGACGUGAGCACUGCUUUGACUAGGGUGAGACGGCCCGCCGGUGCUAUGUUCUUUGCAGUCAGCUUCCCGAUGGCUUUGUGGCUCGGUGAGGACACCAAUGUCCUCUUUGGUCGGAUUUACGAAGAGUACCGUGUCAUCCGCAUACAUGGAGAUCCUGAUGUUUAGGCUUCUUCCUCUUAGUUUGCUGAGUAGGCCUUUCUCCGUCACCAAGUGCAACAGCGCUCUAAGAGGUUCAAUAGCGAUGACAAAUAGCAGCGGGAAGAGCGGAUCCCCUUGGCGGAGACCUCGUCCGUGAGAGAUCGGCCCAUUUGGGAUUCCAUUUAACAUGACCCGCGACGAAGAGGUGGAUAGGAGUGCCGCGAUCCAAUCUCUCCACCUAGUUGGGAAACCCAGCUUCUCCAACAAAGUUAGCAGAUAGUCCCAUCUCACCGAGUCAAAAGCUUUGGCGAUGUCAAGUUUUAAGAAAAGCGUCGGGAUUUUGUUGCAAUGGAAUCGUCUGGCCAUGUUACGGACGGAUAGGAAACUGUCAUGUUACUUCUUUUUUUUGAUGAAAGCGCUUUGCGUUGGGGAGAUUAUUGUUCUGAUGUGCGGGGCAAGCCUUAGAGCUAACGUUUUAGUGAUAAUCUUGAUGAAAAAGUGGACGAGACUGAUUGGUCUGAAAUCCGCCACUAACUCAGCUUCGUAUUUUUUUGGCAGUGGAACAAUGUUGGCCAUGUUGAUCAACGACAAGCUCCCCGUGCGAAGGUUGUGGAAGGCAUUUGCCGCCUCUACGACAUCAACCUUUAUGAUUUCCCAGCAGCCCUUGAAGAAGGCCCCUGUAAAUCCAUCCGGUCCAGGGCCUCGUCGCUCGGCAUUUCGAAGAAGGCCCUCUUUAGCGUGGCCUCCUCGAAAGGCUCAUCCAGAUUUUGAAUGUUUAGUGUUGGUAGCUGCAGUUUGUUCCGGUCGAUAUCCACCGCGCGUUGGUUUGGCUGGCCCAUCAUUUUUGCGAAAUGAUCCUGCACCACCUUUGCCUUUUCUUCAUUUUUGAUUGCCCACCCCGCUUCAUUCUUUAGUCUCUGAACAUGAUUCUUGCGCCGCCUGCCGUUGAUCUUGCGGUGGAAAUAUUUUGUGUUUGCGUCCCCUAGCUUUAGGUUUGUAACACGUGACGCUUGUCGUGUCCUAGCGCGCUCAAUGACUGCAAGGCCAAGUACCCUGCGCUUGAGUUUUUGACGCAGCGUUGUCUCGCCAGCGGAGAGUGGUCAGAGCUCUUGUUCCAGUUGGAGAAUGACGUCCGCGGCCAUGAGAAGUAAAAUUCUGACAUCAGGGAAAUUUUUUUUGUUCCAUUCGCGGGAGUCCUUCAGCUACGGCGCCGAGUUUAUGGUAUAGGCGGUUGAAAGGUUCAUGAUUCUUGGUUGGAGAAUUCCAGGCUGCCUGGACAACUUUAGUGAACCCCGGCAAUUUGAGCCGGUGGUUUUCAAACUUGAAAGUUCGAGGUCAUCGCAGGCCACUUUGAUUUGUUAGUAGCAAUGGGCAGUGAUCCGAGUGUGACGUGGAUAAAGCAUGGAGGACGUGCAUUUGGAAAAGAGCGUCCCACUCCACGUUCCACUCCGCGUUGCGGAAGAUGCGGGCUUGAUCAGGGUCGGGCUCUGUUGCUCAUUGCUCCAGGUAAAUUUGCGGUGUGGGAGGUGUAUUUCCUUGAGCUCGCACUCACUAAGCGCAUCCUGAAAGAGCUGACAUAAGACGACGAUUUAGGUUUGAGUUGUUUUUAUCGAUCGUUUUGUAAAUGAGGUUGAAAUCUCCCGUGAUGACCUAUUUCGUUCCCUGUGCCGGCACUAUGGAGCACAUUUCUGCUAGGAAGGCGACUUUGUGGUUGUGUCGUGACGGGUUGUAGACGUUUGAGAGGUGAAACCGGGUGCCACAUUCCCGUCGCUGUAUCGUUGCCGAUAUGUAAUAAUGACAAUUUCUAAGACGUCCACCUGAUCAUCGUUCCACAGGAGAAGGAGCCCUGCUCUGGUUCCUGACGGCCCGUCGGCAGGUUUGAAGACAUAUUUCGUUAGCUUGAAACCUCCCAGGUAGCAUGCAGUGUGUGCAUCAACAGAUUGGAGCUUAGUCUCCUGAAAGCAAGCUAUGUGGCAAGGUGUGGAUGCAAUGGUCUGGUGAACCAAGUCCUUGCAAGCUUGCUGGUUUAAACCGCGGACAUUUCACCGUCUAGAGGAAAAUUGGUUCUAUAACAUCGAAAGAUUAGCAUAUUCAGAAAAUACCAUAAAAAAUUUGUCGCUCCGUAAAAUAGCAUCGAAAGAAUGAACUGUUACCCUAAACUACCACUAUGUCACGUUUGCCAUUCACGCCGUCUGUCCGUACGUCAAAACGCCACUUCCUCGCCCUCCCGAACGACCAUGGCAGGUUCUGCGCCGGGCGCAGGCCCGCGCGCCUCGCCGAGAGGCCGCGAGGCUGGCAUCUGCGCCUCCGCCCGCGUUGAGCUCGCCUCCCCUGCGAAGCUGAAAGCUUGGCACGUCGAUCUCGCGGUGAAGCUCGAAGCUCCACAUGGCCGCCACAGCCGCGAGUUUCGCGGAACCAGUUGCAACCUGCCAGUCUGCCGCUGUCGAUGGCAUAUAACGCGUCGGCCUGCACCGUGGAGGUGGUGACUGCGAGCUGCAAGGAGCAGUAGUCGAUAGUGCAGUAGGCCGGUGACGCUAUGGCGACCUGACCCAAGGGACCGCGGGGAUGGGCGUAUGCUGCGAGCAGGCGCCGGCAAGCUCAGCGUGGGCCUUCAAGUCACUGACUUGCUUCUGCGGCUGGCAGUCAUUGACCAAAACGCUAAGCAGCAGCAAUCCAUCACCAAGCUCCAGCUCCUCUGCAAGUCUGCAUCCGAGCUCCCCUUCUUUCUAUCUCUCUGCACCAACACAUGCUUCCUCAAAUCCACCAACCAGAGCAGUAAGAACUAAGAAUGCUAUUUAUCAGGCAAAAUAAUACAACUACCACAGCGCCACCAGGAUGUUCGAUGAAAUGCCGCACCUCGCACUCGCCCUCGCGCUCGCGCUCUACCUCCGCGCAUUUUCUCCGUCCACGCAUAUGCUCUUGAGUCUCGACUGCCACAGCUGCAGAUACUGUCACUACUUGCUCACGUGGGAGAACACCGGAAGAGAGAGAUGAGGGAGAGAGGCCCCAAGCUAACUGGCCGCCAGGGAGAGAAGAACGAGCGAGUGUCACCGAAGCCGAGCCUUGCCUUUGCCAGGCACGGAGCGCACGAUGGCCACGAACGACGAGCGCAACCUGGGAGCGGAUGUGCGACCGGCGGGGACCCCAGCCUCGCGGGGUCGCCGCAGGGCAGCAAGCGUCUCGUCCUGUCCAGAGAGAGCCAGGGGAAGCUGCCAUGGCCGUUUGGAGGCGGAGGAAGUCAUCGAUCAUGUGCUAGGAAAGAAAGAACGGACGGCGUUAACGGCCAACAUGACAGAAUGGCAGUUUAGGGUAACGGUUUAUUCUUUCGAUGCUAUUUUACGGAGCGAUGGAUUUUUUAUGGUAUUUUCGGAAUACGACGAUCUUUCGAUUCUAUAGAACCAAUUUUCCCAAACUCCUCCAGCAAAGCAUGUCGAUGCCAGGGGCUAUCAUAAUUGGGGAGGAGCAGACUCUGAUGGCAAUCUGGGAGGCAUCCAGAUGCGAAGAAGUUCAUGGUGGCGAGAAGUUUUUUUCCUCGCGAUUACAACCAAAUCGAAGCUUACUACCCAAUCGAAAAGCAGCUGGAGAAGCAAAACAACGCCGCCGCCACCAAAAGAGUUCUGUGGCAUCCCGACGCAGAACAGAGGCUACAGGCACAUCCAGGGGCGGAUCUAGGUGGAGUCCCUUUAACAUAUGUGGUGUUUAGCCUAAUAAAAUGAGGCUUAGGAGACAAGAUUAGAUUGUUUUGGGCGUGAUUCAACAGCUCAGCCCGGGGCGCAGCCCCGUUCUAGAUCCGCCCCUAGGCACAUCUUGUUGUCGUGAUACAUGAUGGCAGGUAGAGACCGCGCGGGGUAGAGCGGCAGCAAUACUAUGCUGCAGCAAGGACUGCAGCAGCGUCCUCCACGUCGCCGAUGCCGUCGCCCACCAUGGCUGCCAUGUCGAUGUCCAUCUGCUCCACCUCUUCGUCAUCUAGGUUGAACAGGGCUGUGAGUGCAGCAAUGAUCUCCGUCGGCAGCAGCCAGCUGAACAUCGCCAGGUACUCCUGCAGAACACGCUCAAUUGGUUCAAGAUCAUCCUGAAGCAUCCCUAGCUUGCGGUAGAGAUUGCGUUGCGCGGCGGACAACAUCCAUCUGCGGCGCAUUGGCCAGACGGGCGCUGCGGCGUACGGUGGACAUGUCAAAGGUGCGUUUCUUGCAGCGUCUUGGAGGUGGAUGGUUGUCACUUGCCUAGCGUGGCAAUGGUGAUGGCAGCGGUUGACGCAGCAGGCUGCGGUGGCGUGACGAACAGGCCGGCGAUGUCGGGGAGGUCGGCGGCGGCGGCCGCCGGGGCGUGCAGCCCGGCCUGCCUAGCAGGUGUAGCAUUCUGGACAGCCCACUCGUCUGUUGGACUGUGAGCCACAGCCCUAAUCGGCGAUUCUGGGAGGGGCUCGUAGAAAGGCAACCCCUCACGGCCUUGGGCUUACAUCCUCUAUAGAGCGGCCUCGACGUCGUGGUGGGAGGCGCCGGGUUCAUGCCGCAGCGCCGUCUUGAUGCGUGCGAAGACGCCCCGCACCGGCACCACAGGCGGGGCGGUCACCACACGGCUGGCGGCACGGCCCUCCUGCAUUCCCUAUCCGCCGUUCGCCGGCGCCAUAGGGCCGGCCGCAGAAGCCCCCAUCACCUCCUACGUGAGCGGGGACCAGGCUUCGUUCCUGUCACCGCCGCGCAACAAGGCAUCUCCCAUGCCCAACUGUGCAGCCAGCGCCACCGCCUUGAGGAUGUAGUCCUGCAGGAGGUGUGCAGCGGCGUGUGCGCCACCCCCGGCCCCUCUCCAUAGGCCGCCAAGAGAUUGUGCAUAGCGUCCUGGAGCGCCGAAGCUUGCCGCACGAAGAGGCCUUGCAGCUCCACCAUGCCUCGAGAGCGAAGGACUUGUUCGUUAGGAAGUGGAGGCAGCUGAGAGCCAUUUACCUUGGUGUGCCGUCGCCCCCCGCCGUGCCUGCCGCUGCCGCUCCAGUCGCGCCUACGCGGUGAACGUUCCUAUUCACGGUAGGCGUCGUUGUGCCCCACCUUGUGCUGGUGCUGGGACCGUCUGUUCCGCGCGUUCCCAUCACCGCCGAAGCCGUUGUCAUCGUCGUCGGGCCUUCUUUGGUUCAGGUGCCUGUCCGCAUCUGGGUGGUCAUUGUUGUACCCACACCGGCCGCACGACUCCCUAUCCUUGUCUCGGUGCUCCUUCCUUGUCUCGCCUCCUUUCUCGCCGCCCUUGCGAAACUGGUAAGGUUUUGAGGGAGGAGGAGGGUGGUACAGGAACGUGGCUGGGCACCUCAACACCCUCAGCCACACCAAGAUGCCACUUUGGCAGUCGGCGCUUCGCUGGCGUCAAGGCGCCGUUGUGGUCGACCAUCAUGCGGGUGUAGUCGUGGAUCUCGUCGAGGUGCACAUAGAUGCAGUACUUGCAUCCUGCUGCCAGUGCUUUGGUGGCGUCUCCACCACGAGAACGGAGGUCAGCUGCUUGUCGCGCGCUCUGCUGGUGAAGGUGAGCUAGACCUUCUUGGAUAUGGCGCUCGGGUCCGUAGUCCAUGCCCACAGAUCGAUCAUCUUUGUCUCUGCGGGAUGCAUAAGAUUGGUUCCGUAGGACUUACUGAUGAUCUUCUUGGCGAUGUCCUCCGUCCACGCGUGCCCCGGGACACCGUCCAGGCAUAGGCGGACGUCCCGUCCAGGCAUAGGCGGACCCUGUACAGGAGCAUCACGCCCAAGGCGUGGUUCAGGCUGUGCCACUUAAUGAUGUGGAUCUCGACUCCCUGGCAGUUGGUGUGGCUCUACUUGGCCGCCUCAGCACAGUGCCUGCUAUACUUGAACCUGACGAGGAAGGCUUCCGGGUGGUGGUUGGUGACGGUAACUUCAUCUUGGCGCAGCCUGAACUCCUCACGAACGGUCGUGACAACCUCUGCAGCCCCAGUGCCCGGCAGCGUGCGCAUGGCCCAAGACACCAAAGCGGUGCUCUCCCACUUGUGGAGGUCCGCAUCGAUGGUGUAGGAGGUGGGGACGAUGCAGUCCUCCUCCUAGGGGUGAAUCGCGGCGUCACCCACCUGCAGCAUGGUGCUCCCUUCCACGCGCGGCGGCGGGGGCGGGAGCACUUCUUCUUGUGCUAGGGCGUCGCGGCGCGGACCCAGAUCUUGUCGAGCGGGGCUUGGCAUCCACGAGCAGGCGUGCUCCUUGUGGUGGCCCUGCAGUCGCACUCCUUGUGGCUGGAGCAGCGACAACGGAAGCAGUGGACUAGGUCACGGCAGGCGGAGGCGCGAUGGCGCGUGCUAAUGUAGAUAAAGCACCUACCCAGCAUCUUCUAGCGGAAGGCUUGUAGACCCGAUGAGGCAGGACCGUCCCGAGUUGAAGUGGGGCGUCGCCCCUGCCUUGAAUGCAUCGUACUCCGCCGUACCUCUGAUUGGUGACGUCCUGAGCGACGUCAGCUUUGAACGCAGCUCUAGCCUAGCUCCAGCUCCUCUACAGGCUGAGGUGGGGGUGACGCCGCACCGGGGUAGAACGGCGGUAAGCCUGCUGCGGAGGUGACCGUGGAGGUGAUGGGCAGUGUUGGGCGAAGUAAUUGCUCCCGGGUGGGAUAGUAAUGGCGGAUUGGAGCUGCUGUCGUGCUGGCCGUUGGGUACACGGUGGAAGGGAUGCAUGGCACGCCCUGACCACCUUCGCGUAGGUGCAUUGCACCUCCUCCAGCGUGUCGGGCACCAAGGACACCUCACGGGGACGCGGACGGCCGCAAUCCGGCGGGGGCGGCAGGGUCUCAGUGAAGUACCUGCUCAGACCUAGUUGUGAGAGUGGGAGGGGCGUCCGCGGGCUGCUGCACAGCUCGCUGUGGGGGCUGCUGGAGGAGGUCCACGAGGCGACCAUGACGCUGCAGGGUGAGGAUGGGCAGCAAAGGAGCUUGAGCUUGGAUGGCGGCAGCUGGGGUGCCGACACCGGCAGUGGGUAGGGGAGCAGCGCGUGCGGGGGUGGGCGAGCCAUUCCAACAUUAGCCUGUAUCUAAGAUGGUAGGACACUAGGAAACCUAACAUAAACCCACCAAAUCUCAUAAUUGUAGUUUGUUUCAUGAAUAUUUCUUCAAGAAUCCUAAUUGCAUUAUUUCUAAAAUGGCACGCAAUUCCUUAUUUUGCUCUGUUCAGUCGAUAUGUGACAGCUAGCAAUCUGCAAGCAUGUCUAUUAGCUUUUUUUAACGAACCACAUGUGAGUUUUUAUUUAUAUAGCAGAAAACACAAGACUACGAUCUUGGGAGGCCAUAGUUAGGAAAAGGAAAAGAAAUGAAAAAUAAACAAGACCCACCUUGUUGGAUUGGAACGUCAACGCGGGUAACCACACAACUCAAAUUGCCCGGUUGGAUUGGGACGUCAACACAGUGAGCAUGCAAACUCGACACAUCGACAAACCCGACUGGUUGGUUUGGGACAUCAACACGGCCGAACCACUCCACUCGACGACAACGACGGCAGAACCGAAGCCUUACCGCGGCGCGUUCCAACCUUCUCCCGCUCAUGUAAUCGCCAUAACCUCAAGACGCGGCUCCGUGGCGAUUGGGAAUCGAGAGAAACAGACCGCACCGCACCGAGAAGGCCACUGCCAUUCGGGACCCAUCACUAUAGUGCCGCUGCAACAGCACCCUCCACUUGAUGGGGUGAAACCACCAGAUCCGGACCUCUUGGAGGCUGCCUCGCAGUCGCCAUCGCGAUAAUACAACGCGCGGGGGCCUCGCCACACCCGCCGUUGGACUCCACCUCACUCUCAUCCCCUCAAAGAAAACACCGCACACGGGGGCCUUGCCACAUCCACCACAAUACUCCGUUUCACGGAUUCGUUUCUUAUGUCGUCAUCAGAAUGAUUAGCAAUGUUGCCCCAUUUCCUAAGAUCACCAUCAAACAACCAAACCACUGCCGUAGGUCGACAUCACCUCGUCGCUCCACCCGUGCAAAUAGACUUCACCACCAUGCCCACAUGCCAAAGAAGUUGCUUGCGCCAUCUUCCGACGAUGUACCACACCGGAGUCACCCAGCGAGGCUGAGCAACCCGCCGCAGUCCGUUGCAAACCUAGUCAUCUCACGAUGUCGUUGCUGCAAGCCCCGUCCUCUGACGUAGUCCCACGCCGCACAACGCCAGCCGUCGCGGUCCGCUGCACGCAGCCAAACUAACACCCAUGCGACAACCCCUGGCCGCCACCAUAACUGCGAUCGCCUCCACAUGAGUUUGGCAACCCCCCGUCAAGCGUGCCAUCCUGCACCAAGCCACCUUGCCGCGCUGCUAGCCCAUCAUGGUGGGACUGCCGCCACCGGCUACAGCCUCCCAUGACCAAUGGCGUCACCAGCAAUGCCACAAACCUAGAUUGGUCUCUAGAGACAACGCCUCCAGGGAAGUGACGAUGCCAAUAACACCGCCGUCGCUCAUCCAGAAUUUGGACAGGGUUUUCACCCAGAGAACCUCGUGCAACAGGGAUGGGGAUCCAAGAUGAGACCCCCAACGGGGAGAACGACGCCCUAGGGCGCUGUCGCCUUCGCCACCAGCAAGAUCGUCGGCAAAGACUUUCACCCGGAGUAUCCCAUCACUAGCCGCUGCAUGCAUACAGCCACGCAUUCCCAGGACCGCAGCCACGGAAGCCCUCCCAGGGGUGGCGCCGCUGUCGUGCCUCCUCGCUCCCUCGUGGUGCCUCCUCCCAGCCGCACCUGCGUCGCGCACCCUCACCCUCGCGCCCCACCUCCACGCAUCCAGUAGCCCACACGUGCUGUCACCGCACUGCCGCCAGCACGCCUCCGCGGCUUGUGCCACUCGCCCACCUUUGCGGCCCGCGCCGGCCGUCACCGGCCAUCACCGGCGCACCACUACGCGCCUUCGCGGCCCGCGCCGCUUGCCGCCCGCGCGCCGCCAGCAUCGCACAACGGAAGCAGGAUUGAAGCGGAAGGCGUAGUUCCAUCCGUACUCGCGUGUAGAGGGUACCCGCGGUGCCACCCAACUCAUGCAGCACGCCAUCACCACGCCAUCACCACGCCGUCGCUGCCUCGCGCGAGCAUGCGGAACAGGCCCACGGCCGUCGACCUGCCUCGUCGCCCCCACGUAAGGCCGCGCCUCCACCGGCUGCCAUGGCCGCAGCUCCACCCAGGGAAGGCACAAAUCCGGUAUGGGGACGGCAGAUCCACCCUAGGGAACCGUGGAUCUGGCCACCGAAGCGCUGGAGAAAGGCCCACCUUGCCGGAGAAAAGGGUGGCGCCCCCUGCCCGGCGUGCGUCCAUAGCUCGUCCGAAAUGUGCCGCCGCCACCUUCCUUGCGGGCGUCGGACUUUUGGCCAGCCGCUCUGGCGACGGUGAGGUGGGGAGGGGGAGGGAGGAGCCCAGCGGCGGUGCGACGGUGGGAGCCCCCCGUGUCGCGUGCGGGAGCGACGCGGGGGCGGGAGCUGUCUAUUGUAUCUAGUGGUUUCACUCCAUCGGGUGGAGGGUGGCCUAUUUCACUCGAUUCUUGUCGCCGUAGGGUCGCGCCUCAGCUCAGUUGUCUAUUAACAUUUGGUUGGCCCGUUUUAUUUGUCAGUAUCCAUCGUCCAAUUGCACGCGUCUCUACUGAAAUCAUGUAUUUACUGAAAUCAUGCAUUGCUUCCAGGUGUCGUUUCUCUCAAAUAAAUUCACUUAUUUAGUUUUGGCAACAGUUCUGCAUGAUGCUUUGACUCUCUGGAAUGUGUUGCAUAGCCGAUUAUGGUAUCCCUUUUCUCAUUUUCUUUGCUAAAAAGCACCCGUUGUCCCCCGUACAUUUUGAUUCUCUCAAGAUGGAUAAUGUUGCAGUGCUUCCUUUAAUGUUUAUAUCGUCAAGAAAACAAAUUCUUCUACGAAACAAAAGUUCCCUAUUUUCUUCUUGGUACCUCCCACAAAUAUUGGCCUUUAUGAACAACGUUUCAGGGGAAACUGAGCCUAGCCGUGUCAAUGAUUUCCUUUUUGAAACAAAACUUUUCUUGAAUAAGAAAAGUUUUUUUUCCUAAAAGAACAUUACAUUCAGUAAUAACCGCACAAAAAAAUAUAUGCCUCCAUCACUAAUGAAAACAGGGUACUUCCCAGAAAGUUCUAGGUUCUAUGUAGUCCUAUUAGUUUGCACAACAUGAAAAACACAUGCAGCUGCCUGCUAAUGGAACUUAAACACAACAAUAACUUUUCUUUGCUACCACAAGUAUUUGCAUUGCAUUGCAUAGGUCACCCAAGAUGGAUAGUGAUAGAGUGCACCAAAGAGCUGCACAGAUAAAUUGGCCAUAAGCCCACAACCAUGGUUUAUUUCAGAGUACGAAACAAGAUAAAUAACCCAAGAGGUACCAGCAGAAAUAACGAGGGUCACCAUUUUCUUCUACAAACUAAGCUGCUCCCUGGAGGUGAUAUGGACUUUCAUGGUAAGCUUCCUCUCGUUCUUCUUCCGUUCAAACAGAAAGAUGUCAAUUGUCAGUGACUCGUAGACCAUUACCGCCAAAAAAUUUGAGCCAACCACCUCUUAGAAUCACCAUUUUGGUCUUCCACAUCUUCCCAAUGCACUGGAGCACCAUGGUUUGCCCUCUAGCUGGAAGAUACACAACAGUAGCAUAUCGCGAACCUAAUUCCUGAUGCGUUGCAGAUGGAGAAUUAGGAGCACAUUGACAGGUUGACAUUUGAAGGAUUAAUUUGUAGGGUUUAUAUUAUUAGAGUUUUCAUAGUUAAUAUUUUCUGGAGGAAUAAGAUAUUUCUAAACGAAAGCAGGUGAAUAGUCUGACAUUCAGACAAAACAAAAGUCAUGUCCACAUCAACAAACCAGGUUAAGAUGACAGGAACAGAACCUGAUAAAAGAUCAGAAAACAAGCUCAUGUGAACUCGGGCUCAGCUACGAGUUUGUUUCUUCCAUGCAAAUGCAAUUUAGUUUUAAGACGUUAGAAGUCAUACUGGUAGUCGAAAUGAAAUGGGAUCUGUAACUGAUUAAACUAGUUAGAUUAUACAACUAUUUAUUAAGGGCCAGUUUCCUAAGUCUCAGGAUGGCCAUCAGAGAAUUAGGCAGACAAACUGAAUUCUGACCUCUUCCGGCACGGUUAAUUUCAGAGUACAAAACAAGCAAAAUAGCCAACAGAAAUAACAGGGGCGCCAUUUCCUUCUACUUCAAUUCAAGCUAAAACUGCUCCCUGGAGAUAAUUUGGACCUCCAUGGUAAGCUCUCUCUCAUUCUUCUUCAGUUCAAAGAGACAGAUGUCACCAACUCGCAGACUGUUGUCACGAACAAAUUCGGGCCAACCUACCCUCAGAAACAACCUGUGGCCAUUACGAAUCUCCAUUUUCGUAUUCCAUAUCUUCGCGUUGCACUGGAGCACCAUGGUUUGCUCUCUAACCGGAAGAUGUGCAGCGGCGUACUGUGUACCAAAUUCCUGAUAUGUUACAGAUUGGUGGUUAGAAACACAUCAUAUGAGUUAAUGACAAACUGACAUUGUCGAAGCAAACUGAUUUCUAGAGUUUAUAUUCUUCGAUGCCAUAGAACCUCUUUUCAGGGUGCAUAUCAUAUGGCAUUUCUGUGACAUAGUUGCAACUUGCAAAUAGUUAACAGUUGACAUUAGGUCCAGGAAAAAAACAUGUCCACUUCAACGCACCAAAUUAAAGAUGACAAGAACCACAAUCUGAAGAAUACGAAAUAAAUAAGAAUGAAACUUACUAGCAUCUUAUUAUGAGUGACAUCAACGCUGGUCCUCUUCAUUAUUACUACGUAGAUGGGAACUUCGGAUUGGAUGGCUCGCACUUUCGCUUCAACGAUCUUCUUUUGAGAUUUAGAUAGGCAGCUCAUGGCUGGUAGAAUGUAGGGAGGGUCAGAAGGACCUCCAGAGUCAUUGCUGUUCAGGGAAGCCUCAGAAAAUUCUUUCAUGCUACUCUCCGAGGAAACAUGUUCUCCUGCAAAUAGUUUUUCGAAAAUAAGAAAUGGAUGGUCCAAGAAGCUACAGAUUGUUGUUGUGUGUUCAUCUUUGGUACCAUCUGUCAACUCCUCAGAAGGACCUCCAGAGUCAUUGCUGUUCAGGGAUCCAUCAGAAACUUCUUUCAUGCUACUCUCAGAGGAAACAUGUUCUCCUGCAAAUAGUUUUUCAAACAUUAGGAAGGAAUGAUCUAAAAUGCUACAGAUUGUUGUCUUGUUCAUCGGUGAUACCAUCUGUCGACUCCUCCUUAAUAUGAACUACAGAAGUCAUCUCCGCACUUGAUCUAUCAUGGAAUGGGCCAACCCUUGGGAAGCCAACAGUUCCGCUUCCACCCCUUGGACAAGUGUCUGUUGCAUGAAGUAGAUAGACCGUCAACAUGAACUUUCUCCCACUCUUUGCUGGUAGGAGGAGGCAUAUAUCCCCUUCCUGCACAUGAUUGUCACGCACAAAGUCUAACCACUGCCCUCUAAGCAUGUACACUCUUCUGUCGUUUCUUAUGUAGAAUCUGGGAUGCCACUUCUUGCUUUUGCCUGGCCUCUGAAGUGUGAGAAAUGUGGUUUCGUGUGGAAAAUGUGCCAAUGCAUAUUCCUUAGAAAUAACCUGAUUACAGAUGGAACAUGAUUAGAUGUUGUCGACAAACCAUCAAGAAUACUAAACAAAAUAAUUUGGAUCAUCAAUCAUAAUAAAAGAAGAUCAUUUAUCUACAAAAAUGUUCGGAAGGUUCAUGAUGACUGGAAAAUAGCUCCUUAUGAUAUCGGCAAGAUUUACAUCAACUAUCAAGAAAAUUUUAAAGUUGAGAGAAGUGCAUGACCCAGCAGCCAGCAGAGACUCGUGAACUUACCAAGUAGGCGCCCGAGGUUUGGACAUUGCUCUUCCGCAUGAUUGAUACAAAAACAGUGACUUCAGGUUUGAUUUUUUGGAUAAGUGCAAUUACUUUCCCCUUUUGUGCUUCAGAUAGAUACCUUCUACAUGAUAAAACAUAACCAUCCCUGGGGGGUGUCUGAAGAUCAUCACCAGACUCAAAAGAUUUGUUUCUAGAAGGAGUGUCUUCUCCUGCACAAAAUUUCACAGGAAAACUAUCAGUAUAAGUAACAUAAAAUUCAAGGCAAAAAUGCACCUAAUUAACAGUAUAACCUGACUCCUCAAAGGACGAGGAUGUUGCAGCCAUUCUCCGACGGUGACUGGAGCUACUCCUCCCACACCUCGCAAAUCUUUCACUUUCAGAUGAUUCUGUGGUUUCAUGGCAAGAGCUGCUUGAAAUGUCAACUGAAUCCAAACUCCGUUCUUGAAUACUUGGUGUGUUUCUGACGCCAGCACAAGGAAAAACUUUCUCACAACCAUCAGAACCAAGGAUCAGAACCUCAAACCGAGAUUUCUCAAUAUGAUGAAAGAGCAGGAAGUCAUUCUCUUGGACGCGAUUGGCAUCAACAAAUGCCUCCCAUCCACGCUGAAGCACCGUCUUAUUAUAGCGCUCUUUGACUUCAACAUCAUACAGCCCGCCAUUAGGGGAUUCCAAGUUGAUUAUUCUUGACAACUUUCCUGCAAAACGCUUCACAAACCUGUUUGGUAUGAUCUGUAAUAGCAACAGCGAAAGGUUUUGAUGUAAAUAGAGCAACCCCUGUAAUGGCCAGAGUAACAGAAAAUAUAUGGUGUGAUGCAAGAUGUAUUUUCUAUGGUCAGGAAUGCAUUUGCAGAUGGAGACUACGCAAUUAACUAGCAGCUAUGAUGCCAUAAUACACUCGUGUUUUCAUGUACAGAGUUCACGAUAGCAAAGAACAGGAGCAGAGCAAUGUCAACAGUAUCAUUCGGAAGCUGGUGUGAGUAAAUUAGUUUUGUCGGGGAAACAGCUUGGGAGCUGCACUAGACUUACUUACAGAAUCAAAUGAGCAGUUUGGGCUAACUCGAAUCAAGUUUACUUGACAAAUCUUUGCCAUUUGCAUUCUGUUCAGUUAAAAGCUCUGGCUAGCUCGAAUCAAGUUUAUCAAAAGUACAAAGCAAGUAUUGACUUACUGCUUCCAAUGAAUCGAUCAUGUAAAACGAAACGAAGAAGACAAUAUAUGUAGGAACACUGCAAGAUUUCAAACUUACCAUUCUAUGUCUAGAAUUAGCAUCCACACGCCUGAAGAAAUAGCUCAUAGGUUGAUUCUUCCCCUCCAAAUGGUCCAGGUAUCUUCUGCAACACUUGCAGGGUUUCUUCAUUCGGGAACCACCACUUCUAGUUCUAGCCAUGACACAACUACCAUGCAAACGGUGAAACAGAUGAGAAAACGUCAAGAAAUGAAAAGCUUUUUGUACUGCUCAAAAGAAAGGGGAGAUGCGUGCCCUUACUUGGCUGAGAAGCUCCACCAGGAAGUGAGGAUGCAGAGAAGAACCUCAAAGCUACUACUGUUGGAGUAGUGCAGCAGAUGAGAAGCCGUCAAGAAAUGCAACGUUUUGCAAAGAAAGCUUUGCCCUUCAUCAAAGUCACUCCUUGCCUGCAGCACUGAAUACUAGUGAGCCCAACGUCGGAAGCACGCACUUCUAGAAAGUGUAUUCAGUGCAGGAGUUAUAUCCACCAAACAAACUACGGAUGGCUAUUGAUGCAGAACGGGCCGGAAGGGUGGAAAACAAAUUAAAAAUCAGACCCGUAUCCUCAUGUGAACUCGGCGGCCCAGACUAGAGAGGAAGAGAGCACUGACGCUACAGGAUACACAACUAGGUUGAAAUUAUGGCGCAGGCUUAGAUGUGACCCAUCAGGACUGACAUUGUCCAGUGCCUUUUUCUUUUUUUUUUGAGGACUCAAAAUUUAAUUGUUGAUUAGGGGUGUACAGAUAUUCGGAUGCUAAUUAGGAGGAUUAAAUCUGAGCUAAUUAUAAAACUAAUUGCAGAACCCUGUGCUAAUUCGCGAGACGAAUCUAUUAAGCCUAAUUAAUCCAUCAUUAGCAAUGGUUACUGUAGCACCACAUUGUCAAAUCAUGAACUAAUUAGGCUUAAUAGAUUCGUCUCGUGAAUUAGACUCCAUCUAUGCAAUUAAAUUUGUAAUUAGCCUAUAUUUAAUACUUCUAAUUAGCAUCCCAAAUAUCCGAUAUGACAUGUGCUAAAUUUUAGUAGGGUGUAUCCAAACACCCCCUUGGAGAGCAGAAUGCAUGCAUAGAUCAGGGUAAAGCUCCCUCGUUGAGCGUUUCGAAGUGCCGUGAGCACAGGACACAAGUCAGUGUGUGUGCAUUUUCCUUGGGAGUUCCUUCGAAGUGCCAUGAUUCCUAUGGUCCCUUGAUUUUCUGUGACAUGAUGGUCAUCAUGUGCUUAAUAUCAGUUAUCGGCAUGAAUAUUUCAAUUUUUCAAGCCCACUAGUAUUAUUUCAAAACCUUUUCAUGUUCCACAAAAGGUUAUCACUUAUCAGUUUCCUUCUGCAAAUGCAUUAGUGGGCCUGAGGUAGAGGUGAUCUUAUCACCAUUAACAUUGACAGGGUUUCUGCUGCAACUUUUCUACGUUCAUCGAGCUGGACCGAGGUAAAAAGGGACUGACACUAAGUUUGGAAGCGUAACCACAGAAAGAUAGGAUCAAUCAGCCCUCCAAAGUCAAAUCUGGCGAGGCCUUCAGCUUCUUCUUCUUUUUAGUAGUAGUAAUGGACUAUAUUAAAUCAUAAGCAGCUUACAGAUGUGGGAAUGAGUUGUUCCCACUCAAGUUGUUGCAAUGCUAUUGCACUGGGCAAGGAGUAGCAUGACUAAUUCUAAUUGCUUGAAAGGAAAUGAGCAUGGCCGAUGUGCAGGGAAUGAACACGAAAGAAAAUAAAAAUCACAAGAGAUUUGAAGUCGCCGUGCUAAUGAUCCUCUCUUCUAGGAACUGUCCUAGGCCCUUUAAAAAAAAGAAAAAAUGAGCUGUCCUAGGCUUAAUUGGUGCACCACCUAGAUUUGACUCUUCUUAUAAUCGAGUUUAAAUGCUUAUUUUUUUUCAAUUAAUGAAAAAUUGCUUAGCUCCUGCUUAGGUUGGUUCUCGUGUUUUUAUCAUCUGCUGAGACUGGUCCGGUAUAUUUUGGAUACUUCUUCAUCAAUGGAAAGAGGGCAAGAGCUAUUAAGUUAUCGUCCCCGCAUCUCGCAUUACUUUUCCAAACUGUAAAGCAAGAAUAGUUUUAAGUUCAUUUUACUCCCAUAAAUUUGAACAACAUGCAAAGGACAUCCAGCAUUCUGCUAAAUGUAAGUAAGCACACAAGUCUUAAUUAGCACAAGCUGGUGUAAUACUAGCGAGCAAAAGACGUUGCAUUUGUCAACCUGACAAACAGUUCAUCUACACAAUAACACGAAGCAAUCACCAAAGAAAGACAAACACCGAAAUUACUAAGCCUCUAAGGAUGGAUAGUGCAUCGCCAUAAGAGAGUUGGUGGCCUGGCCAUACCAAAUGGACCAAUUCCAGACUACAAAACAAGCAGAAACAACAGGAGGUACAACAUUUUGCUAAAACUGCUCCCUGGAGAUGAUAUGGACCUUCAUGGUAAGCUCUUCUUCAGUCUUCUUGAGUUCGAACAAACAGAUAUCACCGACUCUCAGACCAUUAUCACGAGCAAAUGUGGACCAACCUCCUACAAGAAACCACCUUCUCCUUCCACCGUGAAUCACCAUUUUGGUCGUCCAUAUCUUCUUCAUGCACUGGAGCAGCACAGUUUGCCCUCUAUGUGGAAGUUGUGAGGUCGCGAAUUGUUUUCCUAAUUCCUGAUAAAUUUUACAGGCAGAACGUUAGAAACAUUUACAGUUAAAAGGUUGACUAGCUUAGCUAUUGAAACAAACAAAUUUCUAGGAUUUACAUUGGCACACACUAUAUACUUGAUUUUUUUCUCGAACACGCAAGAGAACUGCGUAUCAUUGUAUUAAUAGAAGAAGAAAUGAGACCCUCCCCCCCCCCCCCCCCCCCCCCCCCCACACACACACACGAUAGAGAGACUUAAUCGCCUUUUGCAGAAAAGAGCGAUCCGAGACCUGGGACAUCAGCCUAACCAACAUCCCUAACCGAAGGAAAGGCCCUUAGCUCCUGCCAUAGCCCACAGCUGGGCUUCAUCCCUGGCUUGGCUCAAGGUAUAGUAGUACCAACGCUUGGAGCAGUUCCAUUAAAGACGCAGUCAUUGCGGUGCUUCCAGAUGCACCAAGCGCCAAGAAUGAUAUACUUGAUCAUUUCAGAGGAAUCAUGAUAUUUCUGUGAUGCAAUAGCAGAUAGUUUGCUGAUCUGAAAGUGGGUGAUUAUAUUGUGGCAUUCAUAUUUCAUAUGAUAGAAGUCUGCCUACUUUAAUAAGCUAAAGGUUUAUGAUAGUUUGCUGAUCUGAAAGUGGGUGAUUAUAUUGUGGCAUUCAUAUUUCAUAUGACAGAAGUCUGCCUACUUUAAUAAGCUAAAAGUUUAAGAUGACAGCGAACAUAAUAGAUAACAAAUAUAUAAUGUUAUAGGAUCAAACUAAGAAAGAUAACUUACUAUCAAGCGGUAACGACGAGUGACAUCAACAUUUAUCUUCUUCAUGAUUGCCACAAAAAUUGGGACUUCAGAUUGGAUGGCUCCCACCAUCUCUUCAACAAUCUUCUUUUGUGAUUGAGAUAGACAACUCUUGGAUGAUACAAUGUAGGGAGCCUCAGAAGGACCACCAGAGUUGCUCUCGGAAACAUUGUAUGCUGCAGAAAAUGUUAGGCCAUAAGAAAGGAAUAAUCUCUAUAGUGCUACAGAUUCUUAUGUUUUUCUAUGAUACCAUCGGUUGAUUCUUCCUUAAUAUGAACCACUGAAGCCAUCUUUGUGCUUGAUCUACCAUUGCAUGACCCAACCUUUUGAAAAGCUGCUCCACCCCUGGAAUAAGUUGCUGUUGCGCGAAGUAGAUAGACUGUAAAUGUGAAUCUUCUCCCACCCUUUGCCGGUAAAAAGAGGCAGAUAUCUUCCUUCUGCACAUGAUUGUCACGGACAAAGUCUAACCACUGCCCACUGAGCAUGAACAUACGUUUAUCUUUCCUUUCGUGGAAUCUGGGGUGCCACUUCUUGCUCUUGCCUGGCCUCUGAAGUGUAACAUUUGUUCUUUCAUGCAGGCAAUGAGAAAAUGCAUAUUCCUUAGGAAUUGCCUGAUUAUAGAUGGAACAUGAUGUGAGGCUCUUAACAGAACCAAGUACAAUAAAGAAGGCAUUUCAGUCCUCAAGCAAAGAAAACGGUAGUUAUUUGUCCCUAAGUGUUAGAAGGGUCGUGAGAAUUUGAAAAGGGAUGAGCUUACCUUAUUAUAAUAUUGGGAACGUAAAUGUAAAGCAUUAUUUAUCAAAGAAAUCUCAUACUGAUAGAAAUGAGUUGCCUUUUCAACAGGAAAGGGUAGUUAUAUUACCAGAUAAGGACCUGGUUGCUCAAUAUGGCACUUCCUCAUGACUGCUACAUAAACAGUACUUUCAGGUUGAAUUUCCUGUAUAAGUGCAAUUACUCUCUCCUCUUGUGCUUCGGACAGGUAACUUCCACGUGAUAAAACAUAAUCCGGCCCUGGGUUGGUCUGAAGAUCAUCCGUCUCAAAGGAUUUGUUUUCAGAUAAAUUGUAUUCUCCUGUACAAUAUUACACGACAAACUGCAGGAAUAAGUGGAUUUAAAAUUCGAGAAAAUUAUGCAACUGAAUUAACAGUAUAACCUGAGCUCUCAGACGAUGAGGAUGUUGCAUCCAUCUUUGCAGUUUUCCCACAAUGACUAGAGCCACCCUUUUCACAUCUAACAAGUCUUUCACUUGCUGAUGAUUCCGAGGUAUCAUGACAAGAGCUGCUUGAAAUAUAAAGAGAAUCUACUGUGUUUUCUUGUAAACUUCGGUUGUUUUUUAUGCCAGCACAGGAAAACACUUUCUCACAGCCAUCAGCAUCGAAGAUCAGAACCUCAAAAAGUGAGUUCUCGAUGUGUCGGAACAGCAAGAAAUUGUUCUCUUCUAUACGAUGGGCAUCAACAAAAUCCCCCCAUCCAUGUCGGAGUAUUACCUUAUUAAAGCGCUCAGUAACUUCAACAUCAUAUAGAUUACCGUUAGGGGACUCUAACUUGAUGGUUCCUGACAACUUUCCAGCGAAAUGCUUCAGAAAUCUGUUUGGCAUGACCUAUAGUAACAAUUGCAAGAAUAUUGAUGUAAACAGCACAAUUCAGAGUAACAAAGUGAAAUAGCAGGCACAACACCAGAGAGCAUAUACUGUCAUGCACAAAAUCGACAGAAGUAAAGAUUGGUUGUGAAACAAAGCUAUGUCAGAAGCUAAUAUGAAUAAAUUAGUUUUGUCAAAAAAUAAGCUGGGGCGUGGCCACACUGACUUAUCAAAAGUCUAAAACCAUUUGGCACAACAAUCAAUAACAAGCUUUAUAUAAUAUUCUGACUGACAGGAUUUACCAACCAUUGGAGAUUUGUAAGGCUAAAUAAAUUUUGAUGAGAAAUCAUGUGCGUGGGAUUGAUGCAGAUGGUAUUUACUUUAUUUAGCAGUGAUCAACAGUAUGCUCUAGAAGACUCAGAUACAGGAAACAUACUAAGUCUCUGGCAAGUUGAAGCUGAUCCUAAUGCAGGGUGACAUACAAGCCUCUGCUACUGUUUUAAGAUUGUACAUGUCACAGAAACACUGAAGUCAUUUAUGAAUCUUGGAAAUCUGCAUCAUCUUCAGUUAGCACUAGCAGUUCUGGCUAGCUCGAAUCAAGUUUACCAAAGUACUAAAGGUCUAAAGCAAAGUAUGUGCAAGAAGACUCAUACAUGAAAAGCACUAAAUCUCAGGCAAGUUGAAGCUGAUCGUGAUGUAGGGCGACAUACAAGCCUACUCUGCUAUUGUUUUAAGCUUCUCAUAUCACAGGCAAGUUGAAGGAAUAUAAAGUUCUGGCUAUAGCUCGAAUCAAGUAUACCAAAGUACUAAAGGUUUAGAGCCAUUAUAUCCACUUAUUAAUUCCAACAAAGGAAUCAUGUCAAACAAAAAGGGAAAAACAAUGCAUGUUGGAAAACAAGCAAGAUAUCAAACUGGCUUACCAUGCUAUGCUUAAAAUUGGCAGUCAUAUGCCUGAGGAAGCAGCUCAUAUUUUGAUUCUUUCCAGCUAAGUGGUCCAAGUAUCUUUUGCAACAAUCACAAGGUUUCUUUCGGGAACCACCAUUUCUAGCCAUGACAACUGAAAUUUGCAUUUUACACGAUAACUCAGAUGGCAUAUUCAUUCUUCAAUAAAAAAGGAAACAAUGUUGUGUUGUACAGAAGAGCAUUGUAUAGCCAUAAAAUCAACUAAAACUACCAUGCAAAGUUGCAAACAGCCGAAUAACAGCUCCUGGCUCUAAUACUUUCAUUUCUUGCUACUCAAAAGAAAGGGUAGAUGGGCUUACCUUCUUCACGAAGCUCAACCAGAAAACGGUGAUGUGGAAAGAAAGCUGGAAGCUAGGUACAUAUAGAGACACCAGUGACGCAUUCAUCACUGCAUGACCAGUAAACAGAAGUGAUGGAUGGGUGAAGUCGGCGCAAGCAUCUUUUCCAAUCAAGGCAUCCACCAAAUGCAGAGGCAAUCAUAUCUCUUCUGAAAGGAGCUUCAUGGAAUGACAGUUCAGUAUACUCUAGGCAAAGAAGUCUAAAAUUCGGAUAUUCACCCAAAGAUGAAAGGGAAUCUGCAGAAGCUGUCAUGACUAGCAAAUCAAGUACAGAAGAGAUUCCCCAGUACUCUAGUCUGAAGUGUACCUGCAUCAAGAUCCCUUCUUCAGAGUUGGGAUCGGUCCUUGCAAACAUGAUACUUUACUGACCAUUAUAUGGAGAGAAGAAAAUAAAGGUGCUUAAUGCUGAUGCCAACUCAGCCACCAGUCUCCAGAGCGACACUGACGUUUCAGGUUCUUUUGGGAGAUUCCCUGGGCGUCUGAAAUUAUGCAGGUUGCAGAUGCGUCAGAUAAGACUCAUAGCCAGUGCCUUCUCCUUGGGACAUGGUGAAAUGUAUCGAAGUUCUACAGAAAAUGUGAACUUAUAUACACACGAUGGAAUGUGUUUAUUGAAGUAUUCCCGUAUAAGCAAACAAACCAGGAAGCUUAGAAAAUGAAUUUCAUUCUGCAAUGAAAAUGAUUUUAUCACCAUGGACAGCCUGAACGAUACAACUCUGAUUUGCUCCUGGACUGCCCAUUUCCGCCCAACCCACAAGUAUCGCCGUCGGCGAGAAGCGAAGGGAGUCGGAUCAAAAACAGAUGGGGCAAGCUCGGACCUGGAUUCCGUCGGCAGCGAGCCUUCAGGUGGCACGCGCACAAGGAGAGCUGGUGCCCUCUGCCCUGCACUCUCCGAGCAGGGCAACGCCGAGCGGUCUCGGCUUCUCCCCACGAUGCCGCUUCCUCCAGUCAAGUCAUCGCCUCCUCCACGUCCGCGCUGUCUCUCUCCGCGGAAGCCCCGGCGAGCAUACCGCCGAGGCGGGGGCGGCGGAGGGCAGGGGAAGCCAGCGCGCCCGGGUUCGGAGCAAACGGCUAAUUUUGCCUUGACCAUACCCUUCGGGACUAGGAUGAGUUGGAUCAACAUAACGUCCCCCGGUUUGGAGAAAUUUCCUGAUUUAAAAACUUGCAUAUGAAAUCCAUGUAAAUAUUCUUGCAAUUUAAACGGACGCUGAAGUUCUCAAAGCGAGUCCAUAGAACAAUUGAACUGAACACAAAUGCUUAUAAUGGUUAAAAGGGAACAAUUAAUUGUUAAGUUUUCCGGUGGAUCCGUAAACUCCGAAUUUUGAGAAAUUUCAGUUUCUUGUUUAAGACGUACUCAAAGCAGGAGGAAACAUAGUUGAAGAUUAAUCAGAAGGAAUCAUAAAAUAUGAAAAGGAGAGAUGAAAGGAAGAAGAAGCAAGGAUGGAUGGCACGCGCUCGCUGAUGCUGAUGGGUCGGUCUCGUCGUGGGGCCCCUUGCGUGCCAGUUUAGGCCCAGCCCAUUUGAACCAAAUACUCCAGCAGGGGGCCUCGUCGUGGGCCCUUGCGUGCAAGUUUAGGCUCAGACUAUUUUGAACCAAAUAAGCCACUCCCGACCCAUCAGGAGGAGCGCAGGGGGCUCGUCGUGGCCCAUUUGACUAUUAAGCCGACGUAAGGCUUACGCUCGCCAGUCAAAGUGCAUGCAUGUGGGCCGGUGUGCAACUAUACAAUUAUUAUGAUGCUAACCUGACAUGUUGUUGACCAUACAAAUGAUUGCUAAAGUAACGGAUGAAAUGCUUGUGGCACCUGUUUUUCAUGCAGCAGGCAUCUGAAUAUCUGGUAUUGGAUCCAAGCACCUGCUACGGAGGCCAAAUAAAUCUUUCAGCUAAAUUUUAAUACUAGGUUGGAAAAGGACAAUUCGUAAUAAAAAAAAUAUAUUCACGCGAGUUGGAGAGGAACCUGUUCGCUUCAGCUUAUAAGUCGGCUGAAAAGUUGAAACGGCUGAUUUGUUGUAAGAGAAAAAUACUGUUUAGUAGCUGAUAAGCCGGCUGAAUAAGCUGAAGCGAACAUGUCUUAUCGGGAACGCAAAAAGAUACGGCUAUACGGGCAGACGGAAAAUGAUUGUGUGUAAGCGGCUGAGCCUGGGCGCCUGGCCAUCUCCGGCUUGCCGAGCGGCCGUCGGCAGGUCGUCGUGCCACGCCACGCCUCUCCAGUUCCGCCGUCCAACGUCGGUCUCCGGUCGAAUAAUCCUGCCUCGCAUCGCAUGCGAGAAGAAAGCCAUAGCGCGUGCCGGCGGGCCGGGCGGGCAUAUUGGCGCAGCCCAGGCGGGUCCAAGCGCAAGGCGCCAAGGGCGGCUAGCACCCGUAGCUAGCGUAGCCGCAGCUACGUGCCGACCGGUCGGCGUUGCCAUGCAAAAGGAGGGGGCCAUCGCCAUGCCGCCAUGGCCAUCCCAUCCCUUCCCGUGCAUGGCGUUGGAAUGCUAGCCGCCUUGUCAGGCAGCAGCUGCUCCUGCUCAGGCGUGAAUGCGUGAUCGAUCGAGAUGAUGACCGAAUUGGCGCCUACAGUGUACGUAGUGCGCUAGCCGAUAGGCUGCUGUUGGCUGCCAUGCAUGCAUCGGGGACGGCGCCGGCCGGCCCGGCGGGCGCGUAUGCCGGCCUUGUCACGGCGCGGCGUGGCGCGGGACAGGAGCGAAGCGAGGGCCCGGCCGGGUAGGCGGUAGGCCGCCACGCCAGAAUCCAGAUGUGACCGGGCGCGUCAAAGGCUGCGGCGGCUCAUGUUUCUGCCCGGGCCUCUCCUUGCUGGUCCUCCUGGCUCCUGCUGCCUCCUGCGGGUCCCGUCUCAAGGUGGGAGAAGAGGCCAUGCUCGGUCGUGGUCGCUGGUCCGGGGUGCAUGGCGGUGACAGCAACGCGUCGGCUGAAUCGUCCGGCGGUCUUCCAUCGCCUGCGAUGCAGCAUGGGGUCGGUCAAGGACCCAAGGACACACAGGGCGAGUAGGGAUCGAUCGGUAUCUGGAUAGGUGUCUGUUUGCCGGCCGGCCGGGCGCCGCCUCGGUUGCAGCACCCUUCAGGCUCGUCUCUUCUCGUUACGUCGUCCGUCAUCGCCCGCUGUGCCUGGAGGACGGACUAGUACCAUACGAUUCACAUGCACCUACAGGCUAUAGUCUGUCCUAUGUACUGAGUAGUGCUGAGUAACAUUACAAAGAACCUGGCCAGGACGCAUAUAGAAACCGAAUCCCAUGGUGGCUCAUUAUGGGUGCUGGAUUCCUUUGCUUAUUUUUACCACGUGUCAUAUCGAAUAUUUAGAUACUAAUUAGAAAUAUUAAACGUAGACUAUUUACAAAACUCAUUAUAUAAGUGGAGGCUAAACGGCGAGAUGAAUCUAUUAAGCUUAAUUAAUCCAUCGUUAGCAAAUGUUUACUGUAGCAACACAUUGUCAAAUCAUGGACUAAUUAGGCUUAAUAGAUUCGUCUCGUCGUUUAGCCUCCACUUGUAUAAUGGGUUUUGUAAAUAAUCUACAUUUAAUACUCCUAAUUAGUAUCUAAAUAUUCGAUGUGACGGGUGCUAAAAAUAAGCAAGAGUAACCAAACCCGGGCUAUGUUCUUUCGUCGUCUCUAUGACCUUGAUUGGUUGAGAUACAACCGUGAACGAUGAACCACAUCCAUUCUUGUUCUUCGAACCAUUCGUCAAAGUACAACACCCUCUUGCACUAGGCGGGGUACUAUUACGAAGACUGAAAACUUGUAAUGUGCCUGUUGGGUCUCAUCUGAUGAAACUCCUCUCUCAUCUGAUGAAAUUUUUUCUCAUAAUAACCUUACUAAGUCAGCAAUUUUGCUGACGUGAUAAUAAAUUUAAUGUUUAUGAAAUUUCUAUGGAACCUUAUUGAAACUGACCUUAGUUUCAGUUUCAGCCUUGGCCAAGCUUGGUCUUGGUCCAGGGUUCCAACCUCCAAGCAAGCAGCCCCUGGAACCGCCCGCAGCUCCGCUAGCUAUCUCCAGCAGCACCUCCCUCACCUCCGACGGACAAGCCCCUGACCCUGAGCCGCCGCCACGAAAGCGUCCGCCGCCGUUGCCAUGCCCCUACGAUCUCACCUACUGCCCACAACGGACGACGACCAGCCUCCUGCAAAUCUGCAAUGUGAUCGAUCCAGCGGCAGGAGGCGCCGCCAUUGCCCGGCCUCUUGCCGCGCCGCCACCCCUCUACAAAGGAGCUGAGGUAGGUGAACCCGGCCCGAAUUAACCCCACACGGCGCGGCGAUCCCGAGCAGCAACUGCUAGACAAUCACAAACCGUGACGAGGUACAAUCAGCGAAUGGAGUCUGUCGACUCAGAUUGUUCAGUCAGGCAACUGACAUCAUCAACACUCCGUUGAACGAACCUACCUAGUGUGUGACUCCUGAUCGAUGAGUGAUGAGUGCAGGCUGCAAUAAGAAGAAACGUCACUACUGGACCAUAGCGAGCGAUAGGACAUUCUCCCUGUUGGCAUUGUUUUGUUUGAUCGGACGGCGCACAAUCGAUGAUGGAUAAGACCGUAGGAGUCCACUCAGUUCAGGAUUCAGGAGGCGUGAUCUCUGCUAGGAUAGGAAGCUACUGAGCAGCUAGGAUUCCUUGGCUGCGACUGCAUGCAAGGGAAAGCUACUGCUCGGCGGUCCGGUGUGGGUGUGGCACCCCCACCAGCCUGAGCCCACUGUCCUGGCUGCGCCCUACGUACUGGACCCGUCAGCCUUCUGUCACCAUCCGUACCCAUCAGUCUUCUUCAAUCUCUGUCCCUGUCCGCAGCCACCAGCAACUAGCAGCAGCAUGCACGCGCGUAUAUAUACCACCACUGGGCCGGCGUCCCGGAACAGCAAGAGUCAAGAAGCACAAGCACAAACGCACAGCGACCAUCUGAUAGGAUCGUCCUCGUCCCCCAGUGGCCCAGUGCACCAGCUUCUCCAGCGGCAGGCAUCCAAUGGCGGGCCAAGUGAUGGAGGCUCACGCUCAUCAUCAGGCGCGGCUGCAGCCUCCGGCAGUGCCGCCGUUCGCGCCGCUGCCGCCCAGCUGCAAGAACGACGUCCACCAUUUCCCGGCCGCGAUGGCCACGCCCGGCUCCAACGCCGCCGCCGCGGCCGACAUGGCCGCCUACCUCCAGCAGCUGCAGGACACCGCGGCGGCCGCCGCCGAGGCGAACAAGAGCAGCAGCGGCGGCAAUGGCGGCGGCGCGGCGCGCGGGGAGCAGUGCCCCCGGUGCGCGUCGCACGACACCAAGUUCUGCUACUACAACAACUACAACACGUCGCAGCCGCGGCACUUCUGCCGCGCCUGCCGCCGCUACUGGACAUUGGGCGGGUCCCUACGCAACGUCCCCAUCGGCGGGUCCACGCGCAAGCGCCCGCGCCUCGCGCAUCACCACCAUCACCACCAGCAACAGCCGGCGGCGGCCAGGCGCGCCCCGGUCUUCGGCCUCGGCCUCGGCGGCGGCGGCGGCGCGCAUCCUCCGAUGCCGUCCUCGUCGUCGUCGCAGGCGGGUGGCCUCCUCGGCUCGCUGUUCGCGCUCGGCGCCGCCGCGCCGCUGCUCGACGGCCCCGCGGCGCCGAUGCUGGAGGGCCGCGGCGCGGGGUUGUUCGACCUCGGCCUCGGGCUGCCGGUACCAGGCGGGGCCGUGGGCGGCGCUGGCGAUGCGGGCGUGCAGAUGCAGGGCCUCGGGCUCAUCAGGGGAGGCGGCGGUGGCCACGCCGGCGGGGCGUCGUCGGGGCUGUUCUGGCCUGCCGGGCUGCUGGACAGCGACAGCGUGGACACGUGGAAGAUGCUCCCCGGCGUCGGAGCGGGUGCAAUGUGGCCGGAGUUCUCUGCGGCGGCGGCGCCGGCGCCACAGGCAGGCGGGCUGCUGCACGGCGGCGCGCAGCUCAUGUGAGAGUGCACGCGGCCGGCCGUCUUCUCCUUCGUUGGUUCCCCAUACAGUAUAAGCGCUCUAUAGGCAUGCAGUGCAGCUCUGCUCGCAUGCGUACGUAGUCUGUUAAAAAUUUUUGUUCAGGUGCCCUGCGAUCCAUGUCUUCGUUUGUGUCGUGUCCUCUGUGUCCUGUUGCCCGUGUUAGAUGGCUAGAAAGGGCCCUAGUUUGCAGAGCUUUGGUCUCUAGCUAGUAGAGUGUGGUCAUCUAUAUCUCUGUGAUAGUCCUAAAGACUAGCGUCUCUUGUAUGCAUGUGAAUGUUAAGCUUUAUUAUGGUAUAAGUGAUUUACAGGUCAACAAAAUUCUGUUUUUGUUAAUCAUCUGUACUGUCUCGGAUCAACAAUUGGCCAUCCAAUUCCUGAGCGUGCACUCUAGCUAGGAAAAGAAUUGAUCACUGACUUCUCUGUAUCGUUAGCUCAUCGAUCUGCACGUUUUCCUUCCAGAAUUCGUUUCGACAUGUAUGUGUAAACUGUAAAGGUAGGUGUUUUGCUCUGAAAUCCAAGGGUACCAAUAUCUUGACUUUUUUUUAAUACGUGCAUAGCACGUUUUUCAUUAAGAAUAAGAGAAUUGCAAUGCAACUUCAGGAGAGAUCUCAAAGCGCAGGGCUACAAGAACCACCACCUUAGACCAACAACAGAAAAAAGAAAAUCAUAGCACCACCACCACACUAAACACAACCUAAGACGACUAAAACCUAUAGGAAAUAAGGACACCAAUAACACACGCACAUCACCGAUUGCCUAACAACCCGGAGCCAGCAGAGGUACAGCGAGAAUGUCAUGCAGAACGAUACCUCCAAGGGGGAGCGCCAUCACUUGUCUAUCCACCGAGGAGCAGACCAAGUCUUUACCUGGCAAAACCAAAUGGAUUUGGUGGCCGCAACAACGCCCCUAGUGAGGUGCUCUAAGGAACGUAACGUUGUCGGCACCGACGAAUGCCGAGUAAAGCUUUCGCUAAGGCCCCAAAACCAACUCCACGCAACCGACCGCCAGGCCUGGAUGAGAACCAAAUUGAUAGGAUGGCAGCGAGCGAUCCACGGCGACGACGAUGGGGAACAUCCGUAGGCCAGCGACCGGUAUCAUGAUGACCCAAAGAUGACCAGGGGCGACCGCGAUGACAAAAAGACGAUCAGGGGGGAGAGGGGAGCCGAGGGCCCCAACAACACUCGACGACGAUGAUUCGGGAUGACCCAUGGUAGUGGCAGUCGCCGUGGGAUGGCGGCAACCCGAAGCACCAUGGGGAGGAUGAAGACCCAUCCUCCCAUCCCUGCCAGCGAAGAAGAUGGCUAGAGGACACAUGACCCACGAGCGACAACCAUCGGCAGGAGCCAGUGCCGGUCCUAAGUUUUUAAGGGUCCUCUGGCGAACUCGUCACGAGGGCCCUCUAAACUAUAUAUAAAUUUUAUAAUAUAUAUAAGCGCUAUUUUUUCUUGCAAAAACAAAUCUAGUAAUAUAUUUUUAAUUCAACAUGUUUGAUAAUUAUCGAAGAACAAUAAAGACUAAAACUAAUAAGAUUACCUUAAGGAAGAUAGAACUCCAUAAUAUACAUUGCUUCUCAUAAAAAUAUAGUUCUUCGGGCAUUUCUUGAUGCAAAAUCAUCAAGGACGGUAUUGAGAUCAAUAGUGUCCAAGAUAUCGCUCUCGAUGGUGCACAUAGCCAAUCCAUUUAACCUUUCUUGUGACAUAGUUGAUCUCAAAUAGUUCUUCAACAACUUCAAUUUUGAGAAACUUCUUUCUGCCGAAGCUACAGUCACAGGUACAGUUAAGAGGAUUCGAUAGGCAACUGAAACAUUUGGAUAGCAAUCUGCAGCUAUAACAAACUCCAGAAUCUCAAGCGCUGACAUCAAAGAAUCCGGCAAAGUCACUUGUAGCACCUUUAAUUCUGAAAAAAAAUCAUUGAUCUCAACAUCGGAUGAGUUAUCCUGAGAAAUUUUUUUCACAAAAUUCUUGCAGUGCAGCCAAAUAUCAGCUUCAUCCAAAGAUUUCAAAUUUUUUGAGUUGAACAAGAACCCAAAAAUGUUAUCAAAUUUUUUCAUCUGCUCAAAUCUACUAGUCAAUGAAGCAAUUGCAGCAUCAAUCAUAACAUUGAAGUACUCUACUCUAAAUGAGUCCACAACAGAUCGUUGUAUUUCCUCAUCUUGGUCAUCUUGUUCAUAAAAUUGUUUCUUUCUCUUUCCUUGACGUUUUGUACAAAAUUUUGGCUCUAUAUCCAUUUCAGAUGCAAUAUUUUUUCCUGUAUCCAUACUAGAAGUGAAACCUUCAUCUCUAUACUUCUUAAAAUAUGAUAUGACACCUUCAAUAUGUUUGAGAGUAUCAUCUAUACUCACAAUUUUAAAUUGCAACUUCUUGCUCACCUUAUCUAUAGAGAAUAAAAUAUCGUGCCAAAUAACCAAACCAACUAAAAAUUCAAUAUUCUCUAGUGCACUCACCAAAGAUUGACAUUCACUAACUGCCAUUGGAUCAUCAGUUGAAGCCUUCUCUAGCACUAUUAAAGCUGAUCUUAUUUGAGGAGUUUGGAAUCUGAUAGCUUGAACACUUUUUAUUCGACUUUCCCAGCGUGUAUUAGACCAUGACUUAACUAUCAAUCCUGGAAUAUUGUCCACUAAAAUCUUCCACCUUUUAGUAGAUUUUGCAAACAAUGUGUAUAUAUGUUGGAUGAGACCAAAAAAGAAAUAGCUUGCCUGCAAGAUUUAACAAAUAGUAAGUUUGAAACUUUUUCCCAAAACAUGACAUAUUAUAUGAAAACAAUGUAUAAUAGAAAUAAUAGUUUACCCGCAAGAUUUUCCCAUAUCACAAAGAGUAAGAUUCAGACUAUGACAUGCACACGGCAUGUAUAGUGUUUUUCGAUUAAUUUCAAGCAAGCGCUUCUGAACACCUUGGUGAGAACCCUUCAUAUUUGAACCAUUAUCAUAGCCUUGUCCUCUCACAUCAUCAAUAUUUAAAUCAAGGGUGGCCAAUACAUUAUUUAAUUCAUUAAAAAGACCCAAUCCUGAUGUGUCAUCUACCUUCAAAAACUCUAGGAAGAACUCCUCUACCCUUGGAACAUUCCUCGACAUAUUGACACACCGAAUAAUUAGAGUCAUUUGUUCUUCAUGGCUCACAUCUGGAGUACAAUCUAAAAUCACAGAAAAAUACUUUACAUCUUUGAUGAUCUUUAGUAUAGUUUUUUUCACACAAUCUGCAAGAAGAGAAAUCAUCUUAUUCUGAAUUUUAUGCCCAAGAUAAUGAUGAUGAAUCUCAUUAUUUUGAAUCUGCCUAAUAUGGUCUUGCAUCACGGGAUCAAAUUCACCCAUCAUUUCAACUGUGCCCAGAAAGUUACCAUUGCUAUCUUGAUAUCGUUUCUCAUUUUUCCCUCGAAAAGCCAAAUUGUGUUUAGCAAGAAACUUGAUAGCAGAAACAAUUCUUACUAAAACUUGUCUCCAACGCUCUCUCUCCUUUGCAAUUUCUCGUUGCAAAUCAUCAUCAAUCGUUUUAUUUUUGCUCAAUCUUAGCCUAACUUCAUUCCAAGUAUUCAUGUUUGUUAUAUGCUCAGCACUGUUCUCAUGUUGCUUAAGUCUAAGACUAAGAUGUUUCCAAUCCCUCAAUCCAUCAUGUGCUAGCAAACUUUUGCUCUGACUUGAUUUGAACAAUUUGCAGCAAAAACAAAAAACUUUGUCCACAUAUUUAGAGUAAACCAACCAUUUUCUAUCAACCACCUCAACAUUGCUUAACUUUCUGGAGUAGUAAGUAUAUGAAAAAUGUCUAUUAAGAGCAUCUACAGGGAACUCAAGAUUCAAUUCUCUCACCGGCCCCUUUACAAUCAAUAUAUCUCUACCCUUAUUAUCAAGAUUUUCCCAAAUUCUAGGAUCAAAGACAUCAUGAAUAGAAGCUUCUUGCACAUCAUCAAUUGAAUUUUCAGGUUGAGAGGAAGGCUGUAAAUUUUCAUUCUUUGUAGCUUCAUCAAUGUCAUCAACUUGUUCACUUAAAUUAUCAUUAACUUGUUGCUGUUGCUGCCCUUGUCCUUCAAUAUCAAGUGCAUCUACAGGAUUAUCAUCAGGCACAACACUCCUUGAAGCUGAAAAAAACUUAUGUAUAGCACCUUUUUGAGAUUCAAUAAAUUGAUCUUCUACUCUUUUCCGUUUUCGUUUUUGAGAUCCCGACAAAUGUUUUUUAGGUAACAUUUUAAGUUUCUAACACCUAAAUUAGAAGAAAAAUAUGACUAUAUGAGUAUCGAGUACUAGAAAUCGAAGUAAUUAAUUUAGAUUAAAAACGAUAAGAAAAAAAGCCUGACGAGGAAGGGAGGAAGCACACUGCACCUGCACGAGCCGCAGUCCCGCACGAUGUGUCGUCUGUGGUCUCAGGUCUGCCCGUCGCGGCGUCGCCGUAGGCAAUCUGCGGUUGAGGUGUCGCCGUGUCGGGUCGCUGUCGCCUAUCGCAACGCACGACAGGGGGCAGGGGGCACUGGCACAGUCAUCGCGUCGGCAGGGACCAGGGGCAUACAGAGACGACGAAUUACGGACGGCCAACUGCGGACGGCGUGGCGUAGACCUGAGAUCAGGCGACAGGCAUUCGCGUCAUUGCCUGUAUACCUAAAAGGCCUAUACGGCUAUACCUAUUACCUAGGGUCUUUGGCUAGGCCCCCCACUCCUGUGGGCCCUAGGUCGGUGCACCUCGUGCACCCUCCAAGGGCCAGCACUAGCAGGAGUGACCCAAGAGCAAGCUAACCACCGCGGAGACCGACAUCACCAAAGAGGGCAACUACGUGGUUGUCCCCGAAGGAGUUGAAGCACAGGUUGACAAAGUCAGCCAACAUCGGGUGGCAGGGGGCGUGCCGGCGAGCGCGUCGCCCUCCUCUUGCGUGGCCCGGCAACCUCCCUGCCGUCCUUCUCCAUGACCAUGGCACCACGAAUGUGGUCGCCGUGCUGGGCAUCCGCCAUGAAGCCAUCGGUGGGAGCCGGUGGUGACGAAGCGGCGACCUGUCGGGGGGAGCAUGGUGACCCGGCCCAUAAAGGCAUGACCUUGGAUGUGCUGAUGACAUCCUGACCCAUCGGCGGCUUGAUGGCGGGGAGGAGGCCUGAACCGGCCGUGCGCUGGUGGCAAGAGUAGCAGGGGCUGCCACCGCACUAUAGUAGGAGGGCCCGAGCAAGCACGGAUCCAGGGACGCCCCGCUCGUGGCCGUAGCAGAACCACCACCCCGACACCAGGGAGCCCCGGGCAGCAGAUGGAGAGCGCCGUCCAUGCUGCGGGUGCCCCGUCGGGUGGUAGCGCCAGGAGCAGCACUGCGGGGACAAGUGCGGUGAGAGGAGCGGGGGGGAGGCCGACGGCCCAAAGUCGCGCGGCGAGGCACGGGUACGCGCACGCCCAGCCAGCAGCCCUAGCUCCACGUGCUGCCGUCGUGGUAAGGUCCAGUGGUGCGGCGCUGCCGUGCUUGCCGGGCCAGGAAGACCCUCCCCCCUGGAGCUCGGGAGAGUCCAGAUCUAGGCUCGAACGUAGCAGAUCCGGCGAAGGGCGACUAGCGGCACCGGCAGCCAAGAUGACCUUGAUCAGGAGAGCAGGAGAGGAAGAGAAGGAAGAAGGAGGGAAGGAGACGCGCGUGGCACCGGCUUCGGGCCACUGCUGGCUGCCACUGCCGGUCGGCUACCGGCGGUAGUGGCGGCAGCUGGGCGUCGGUUUGGUGGGAGCGGCGACGACCUCUGGAUGGGUCACCCCCGAGUCGUUCCUAAGAGCAACGUGGGGAGGGGAAAAAUCCCAGUAUCUUGACCUUCACUAUAGAGUAGAAUGUGCUUUGCCACACGCACAGAAGGACCACGGCCAACGGCGCCCGAGGUGCCAUGGCUGGCCGUUGACCGUUGUGAUGCAACCUCGACAACCCGACGCCAUGAUGGACGGGCCGACGCUCUGCCUUAAAAGAUUGGGCUUGGGUCGUAUGUACUGUGGGCUGCCUUCAAGCUUGUGGGGCCCAAAUCCAUCUUUGUCACCUGAGAUUUCAAAAGAACAGCAAGUGAUAUGGACGAUGGAAAGAAACAGGGAUCCUGUGUUGGAUCAGUCAGCUAGAUGUGGCUGGUCAACUAAUCAAUGACACGUAAACUUUUAGCGUGUGUUUGGUUUGAGAGUUGAAGUGGGUUGGGGUGGGUCGGAUCCAGUUGGGAAAGUGUUUGGUUGAAAAACUAGUGGGUUGGUUCAUCCCAAGAGGGAAUAUUCCCCCAAUAUCCGGGUUCAUCCGGUCUGGCCAAAAUGAAUGAAUCGUUUCGACCCACUUGAACGGCGUCCUCAUUCGUCAGUCCGUCGUCUUCUUUGUGCACGUGAGGUAGCUCCAGAGGAGGCACUAAGCUACACGAGCUGGCGGGGAUGUUGCCUUGCGACGAAGCCGGCGGCGCUGCACGGUGGGGCCGGAUGGCGACGCUGCACGGCGUAGCUGCUUGGGCGUGGGCGCGUGUAACAUCCGUAAAAUUUACUAACUCAAAUCAUCCGCUAAAAAUUUAUUUUCAAAAUCUUUUGACCGUUGAGCUCCCGAAAAUCUUUUCCUUCCCGACGACUCCGCCAUCCCGGCACCCAACGCCGACAGUCGUCUUUUUCUCCCUCCGCAAAUUUUGCCGCGUGCCCGUCAACAUCCGUCACGCAUGCCCGACCGAUUUCCACAUUUUUCACUGACUCUCCCUCUCUUUUCUCUUUCUUUUCCCCUUCUCCUUUUUCCCCUUUUCUUUUUCUUCUUUUUCUUCCUUCUCUUUUUUCCUUCUUCCUUCUUCCUUCUUCCUUCUCUCUUCUUCUUUCUUCCUCCGCCUUUCCUCCUGGCGCCUGGCAAUAGCGCUGGCCUACCCCCGGCCCCCUGCCGCACGUCACCCAGGCCACCCCCUGCCACUCACCCCGCGCCCGUUGGCCACCCCAGGCCCGCACGCCGCUCGCCCCGACGCCCCAGCCGCACACGCCACACGCCAGUCGCUGGUCGCCGCCAAGCCCCUCCCCACGCUGGCCACCGCCCUGUGCAUCCUGUGCUCCUCGCCACUCGAGCUCGGCCCCGCCACGCCCUCAACGCGGAGCUCCCCUGCCUCAUGCCACCGGCCGAGAACUCCGGCCACCAUUAAAAGCUCGCCGGCCACAGGCCCCGCCGCCCUUGUGCACCGCUCGCCCCGCCCCCUCCUGCAAGCUAUAAAAGGGGAGCCGAUGCGUGGAGCUUCGCUACUCCCCUGCGCCCAAGCUCCUCGCCUCCCUCGCGCCCAAUCGCUAGGAGUGCCGCCGUCGGAGCCGCUCACCGCCCCCUCUCCCGUCACCACCUGCCCAAGGCGAGGGCCAAAAUGGGUCCCCCACGACCCCCUCUACCUGCCCCCCUCCCCCCCCCGGUUCCCCAUCCUCUUCCCUCAGCAAGUCACGGUCCAAGAAAGAAGGAAAAAUCCCCCCAAUUCUGAUCUAACCCCCUCCUUUUCCAUAUUCACAAACCAGCCCUCCCACCUCUCUCAAAGUUCUCUCGUGGAUAUACCCUUCCACCUUCCAGAAAUAUUCGUGAAUAGGUUCCUGGUUCUCGCAGUUUAGUCCUAAACCUUGUUUUAAGCCCCUAACACUCCGUUAAUUCAUCAUUUCAUGCGUCAAAAUUCCUCCAAUUAAUCCCAAAUUCGACCACGGCGUCCUCCAAUAUACUUUCGCUGAGGCAUCUCCAAAUUUCAUGAAAAUACUCAUUCCUUCCAUUUUUCGUUCGCAUUCUCUGUUCGAAGCUCAACGGGUAAAGCUUUAAUUUUAUUUUAUUUAUUGUGUGCUUGAUUGUGUGUGGCGUAGAUCGUGGAGUACCCGAGGAAGAGUUUGACCACGAGCCCGAGCCUGAAGACCAGCACCGCAAGCAGGAACUCCCGGAAGGCUUGGAGGACGGCAAGUCCAACCUCACCCUUUGAUGCAUAUUUAUCCUAGUUAUUCAAACACAACCUAUUGGCCUGUUUCAUAAAUUGCAUAUUGUUUUACCGCUGAAACAUGGUUGGAUAGUCACCCCUUGAUUGCUAUGAUUAUUCCUUACUUAUCCUAUAAUUAUCUCUAAAUAUGACUUGCUCUGUUUGGAUAAUAAUUACUGCUAAAAUGCUUAGGAUCUUGUUACUCAAUUCAAUCAUAACUACAAUGUGUUUUGUUAAAGAAUAAAUGUGUGAGUAUUUUUAAAAAAUGGAAAAUGGGUUUCCGAAAAUGAAGGAAAGACAUGCUUAGAUGAGAUGGAUGGGUGUUUCUUGUGUGAAAUGCCAAUAAGUUGGCUUGUACCUUUGUGGUUGAGCAAAGUUGGGAGAUAUCCAUCUUGUCAUGGUUAAGGACCGAGUUAAUGUGUCAUCUUGCCUAACCCAACCAUAGUGCAACCACUCGACCGUUGUAUGCGGCAACGGCUUAGCAUAAAUCCCACUAGCUAGUCUAUUAGUCAUCAGGAGAGCUAGUGAGCAACGGGAGACCAUGGAGAAGGAAUAAGAAUUGUGUGAACUUAGAUCCCGAUUAAGACCUCGUUAGUAGGUCAUUAACCCCUCGGUUGCUUUCGUGUUGACUAGUUAGUCUUAGCUAAGGUGGGUAAUGGCUUUGAUAGGAUCUGCACCAACACUAAGGUGAUCGUGCAGCGGUACCCUACUUGUGGGAAAAGUGUACAACCUCUGCAGAGUUAAAACCUAUCCGGGUAGUCGUGUCCACGGCAUUGGACGAGUUACGGCUUGGUCACAUAACUAGUACUUGGAGAUGGAUGAUUUUCUUGGCGUGUGUUGGAUUUCAGAAGUGUCUGGCAGUUGUGCUGUGAGCUAUUGUGGGCAGGGAGUCCGGUAGCAUUAAAACUUGGAUCCUUUGUGUAGGAUCAACCUCACUUAAUGAUUCGGUUACUAAAAGAAAUGCUUUGUGAAAACUCUUUUGAAAAUGAACCCUUGCAUGUGUUAAAAUCUAGCUUUACUUCAAAUAAACCUUAGCCUUAUCCUUGUUAUAUCAUGAGCAUAUUCUUGCUUGUUUCCGCCUCUGUGGAUGGGGUUGGACUUGUUGAGUACAUUCGUACUCACCCUUGUUUUGUUGCUUCAGAGGAAGAUCUGGACUUCGUCAUCGAGGAUUUCGAGUAGGAGGUCGCUUCCGCACCUAACGUUGCCUAUGGUGUUAGCCUUUGCAGAAUGCUUCCGCUGUUGCUUAGUUCCGAUUGCAGCCCGGGGUCCGACUGGACUGCAACUUGGAUCUGUAUCGUUGUUGGUUUAGUUCUCUUUUGGGUGUGUCUUGCCCACCCACUCCUUCGGGAGUUGUAUGGUUUUUGAACCAUCUGUUGAAUAAAUGUGUUAUCAACCUCCUGGGACUGAUAUUUGUAUCACAUUUAGUCUCUACUUAUGUGGGGAUGCUUUAGCGCGGUGAAGGAUGGUACGGGCGACGGCGGGCGGCGCGGCGUGAAAGAUGGCGUGGGCGGCGCGACGGGUGGGGAGGAGCCAGCUGCCAGCGACGCUAUGCAGGGCGGGGGUGUAGGAGCUAGGCGGCGGGCGAGGCAGGGUGGUGAAGGGCCAGCCAGCGGCGACACUAUAAAGGCUGGGGGCAUAGGAGGCGGUCGUCGGGGCGGAGAGGGGCUAGGCAAGGCGAGUGGGAGGGGCCAGCCGGCGAUGGCGUAGGGGAGGCUCGAGCUGUGAAGGAAGAAGAUAAGGUCUGGCCAGAGGAAGAAGGUAGGGUGCUAGGAAAAAAUAAAGGAUGACAGAUGGGAUGACAGGUGCGACAUGCUAGUAACUCAUGCUAAUGGUGUUAAAGAGGACAUCCAUCCAUCUCUCUAGAUAUCUCCAACUAAAUAAAAAAAUAGAAUGAACCCAACCCAUUCAACCAAACACGCACUGGGUCGAACCCAACCUAAAAAAGAGGGACGGAGCCAACCCAACCCACUUGAUCCCCAAAUCAAACACAAGCUUAGGCACUCUAGCUCGCUACCAUAAAGUUUGAUUUAUCUCAGUGAUAUACAACAUUUUUAUAAGAGAAGGAAAAACAAAACUUAGGGUUUGUUUGGCAGGGCUCCACUCCAGAACUCUAGCAACUCCACCAAAAAAUCCAGCCAAACACCUCAACUCCAAAACUCCAUGGAGCAGCCAACUCCAUGGAGCUGUAGUGCAAAUGGAGGUGGAGUUUUGGAGCACCUCUUUUGCUCCUCCAAAACUCUCUAUUUCGAACCUCCUCGUGGAGUUGGUGGGUUAUUACCCACCAAUACCACUGGUUACACAAAAAAACGUUUCAUUCUAUUUUCCCACCCCCGUCACCUGUCGCCUACCGCCUCCCCGCCGCCUGUUGCCGUUCCGCCUGCCGCCUCCCCGCCGCCCGUCGCUGCUCCACCCUGCUGCCCGUCGCCGCCCCGCCGCCCGUCGCCGCCCUGCCCCCGUCGCCGCUCCACCCCACCGCCCGUCGCCGCCCUGCCGCCAUCAUCGAGCCCCGCCCGUCGCCGCCUUGCCCCCGUCGUCGCCCCGCCCUCGUCGUCACCGUCGUCGGCCCCGUGGCCGCCUCCCCGCCGCCCGUCGCUGCCCCGCCCCCGUCGCCGCCGUCACCGAGCCCCGCCUGCCGCCUCCUCGCCGACCGUCACCGCCGAAUCGGGCGGAAUCCGAGGGGAAGAGGGAGUAAUGGGGUCGCCGGGGGCCGGGAGCAGUGGCGGCGACCAUGAGUGCUCCUUCAAGAUCCUCCUCAUCGGGGACUCAGGCGUCGGCAAGAGCAUCCUCCUCGUCAGCUUCAUCGCCGCUUCUGCCAUAGUACCAGAACGGAACCGGACCUAGACCCCCAGUGUACACUCCUAGUCGUAGCAGUGGUACGGCACUAGGAUUUUUGGGCGGACGAAACUAGCUAGCUGCGGAGGCAGGAAUCAAGGCGGCGUCCGUGCGUGAUACAUCAGUCUCUCUCUCACCGAGCAGAACGUGGCAGGAGAAGAAGAUGGGAUAGAGAGGAUAACAAGUGGAGCCUGAAUUGGGGGGCAACAAUGGCAAUCCAUACUGAAAUCGAUUUUUUUUGGAGUUGAGAGCACCCAUCUAGCCAAACACCCCAUUUUUAUUCUGGAGUUCUAGAGUGGAGCUGGCUCCACCUGGAGUUCUGGAGUGGAGCAGCUCUACUCGGAGUUGGAGCCAUGCCAAACAGGACCUUAAUUUCAAUAGUGGUGCCGAGCUUAAUUAGGAAGAAGUGAAGAACCAACCAGGUUCAAGCCAAGGUCACGACUCCCUUGUUGCCGAACGCGCCUUCCAUGGAAUACGUCUUCUCUUCAGUAUACCGCCCGACGCCUUCGGUACCAGGUCUGACAGCAAUAUCUGAAGCAAAUGCACCACAGCACCAGAUAUGCGCCCAUAGCGUGCACGUGUUCCUUGCUAAGAGCCUGAGACCACACACACACAACAGAGCUCCACAGCAACCUGAUCGCCAUGGUCGGCCUAUCCAUGGACCAGUCCUUCGUGCAGGCCCCCGAGCACCGCUCCAAGCGUACCAUCACCGAGGCCACCGGCAUCCCACUCAUCGACAUUUCGGUCCUUGCCUCCGGCGACGCCGCCGCCGUGGACGCGCUGGCCGCCGAGGUGGGCGCGGCGAGCCGGGAGUGGGGCUUCUUCCUGGUCGUGGGCCACGGCGUGCCGGCGGAGACCGUGGCGCGGGCGACAGAGGCGCAGCGCGCGUUCUUCGCCCUCCCGGCGGAGCGGAAGGCGACCGUGCGGAGGAGCGAGGCGGCGCCGCUCGGGUACCACGAGUCGGAGCACACCAAGAACGUCAGGGACUGGAAGGAGGUGUUCGACCUCGUCGCGCACGAGCCGCCGCCGCCGGCGGCGGGAACCGUGACCGAUGGCGAGGUCGUGUACGAGAACAAGUGGCCCGAGGACCUGCCAGACUUCAGGUGAAUCCAUCUGCAACCUGUCGAACAUGCCGCCGUCCCGUUGUUUUGACAAAUCUCAUAUAUGUUAAAUUAGUUUUGAGUUUUGAAAAUGACUGAAUUCUCCUCAAAUUUCACUUUUAUCAAUGUGAAACUAAAAACUUGUGCAGGGAGGCGCUGGAGGAGUACAUGAAAGCCAUGGAAGAGCUGGCGUUCAAGCUGCUGGAGCUGCUGGCCCGGAGCCUGAACCUGAGGCCCGACCGGCUGCACGGCUUCUUCAAGCACCCCACCACGUUCUUCCGCCUCAACCACUACCCUCCCUGCCCGAGCCCGGACCUCGCGCUCGGCGUGGGCCCGCACAGGGACCCCGGCGCCCUGACGAUCCUGUACCAGGACGGCGUCGGCGGGCUCGACGUCCGGCGGCGCUCCGACAGCGAGUGGGUCCGUGUCGGGUGCGUCCCCGACUCCUUCAUCGUCAACGUCGGCGACACCGUGCAGGUAGGCGACGCCGUCGAGAUCAUCCGUCACGAAUUAGUGUGUAAGCUGAAAUAAUCGAAGUGAUGCGCGCCCAAUGGCGUUUUCAGGUGUGGAGCAACGACCGGUACGAGAGCGCGGAGCACCGGGUGUCGGUGAACCCGGCGACGGCGAGGUUCUCCAUGCCCUACUUCUUCAACCCGGCGGCCGACGCCGUCGUGGAGCCGCUGGAGGAGCUGGUGGGCGGGGAGGAGGACGACGACCCGCCCAGGUACAGCGCGUACAGCUGGGGGGAAUUCUUCAACACAAAGCUCAACGGCAACUACAGGAAGCUGGACGUGGAGAACCUCCAGAUCGAGCACUUCAGGAAGGGCCUCGAAGCGUAGCAGGAUUACGGACAGAUCCGUGCCCCGGCGAGGAGACCGGCCGUUGUCUUCUGCUACCGAGAGACGAUCGUCACCGUGUCGCUGUUUCUGGCCGUACAAGUAAUCUUAUCGUGACAAAAUAUUUAUAUUGCAAGACAGGAAGCAUUCAACGAGAUAAUAAUAAUAUGAAGAUAAGCUCAAAUACUAAAAAUAAGGUAUUUAAUCCAAAAAUCUAUUUCCGUGCGUUUUCACGAGUGCUGUAACUUUUUUAACAUAAUGAUGUUUUGAUAAUACCAGACAAUACAAUAAUGACCGGGGAUUACAAUUGGCAAAAAGAAACUGUGAAACCAAUAUUUUGAUACGGAGAGAAUACAACCCGCUACAUGGUUCGUGAGGAUUUCACGAGGAAGAGAGAUAGAGGAUCGAGAGAUGAGAGAAGGCACGGGAGAAGAGUGUGGCGGAUCCACUUCGGAUUAGCUUGAUUAAACAUGGUUAAGUCGCCUAACAUGCGACACCCAUGUCUUAGCCAAGUUAACACGAAGUGCCGUCGGAUUUCAUCCGAUUUAACCACUUGAACAUGACCAAUUAGCAAAACCCACACGAAGGUGAGCGGUUCCAGAGAAUACAACAAGUCCACCGAGUUAACAAAAUUACCCAUUUAGUUUGGCCACAAAACACAUCAGAGUUUACAAGGUUCAAAAGAAAAACAACAGAAGGUAAAACACUAGCGGAAGCAAACUCGUCGGGGUCGGACAUCCCUGGUGAGGCCCACCGGGACGUCAAUGAUCCCUCUCCUCGCCGUCCGAGGAGGGAUCCCACUCGACCGUCCAACCCGGAGGGAGUUGGGGCGGCCAAGUGCCGACAGGGGAAGGCUCAGAGGCAGCCACUUCACCUGAAAAAGAAAAGCCACAACAAGGCUGAGCUACUAAGCUCAACAAGACUUAACCGACAGGGAGCGCGCUAAACUACCUCUGCUAGACAUGCAAGGCUUUUUGGCUGAGGGGUUUGUUUGCCAAAAGCGCUAGAUGUAACCCUACUUUCAAGUUUUAGCUCCGGUUCUAAGUUCAUUAUCCGGUCUAAGUUUGCAACCUAUUCUAAGCAAUCAUAGAACCAACCAAAGGUAUAUAUCUCAUCAACAAAACCAUAUCAUCAUCAGAUUCCUUAUUUACUCAGGGUGACAUGCGAUCAAGCAGUCUCAAACUGUGAGAGGCAGACGAAUCGAUUCAAGUUUCUUAACCAUGCAUGGCGAACAUAAUCUCACGACAUCCGCGCACCACAAGGGCUGCUUCCUGUGUCGGCCGUCCCCAUCAAUUCCCAGGCGCGUGUCAGGUCCAAACUUCCCUUGGCAUGCAAUGCUCCACAGUCCCGGCCUCUACCGUACUGUGACCGCACUUGCACCCACAUGAUGCACCAUGGGAACCUCGUUCCAGGGACAGCAGGGGUAUAAGCCACGCCCUAGUUCAAUCAGGUACUAGGCUUCCCCAUCCCAUACUAGGUAUGAGAUUAGUACCUUCAAACACUUGAUCACGAACACCACCACUGUCGGGCCUUAGCAAGUUUCAUAGACAGACGGGGCGAUCAACCGACCACCAAAAAGUUACCCAAAACCCUGCCCCGUCCAUCAUCCUUACAGUUCUAACAGAAGAGAACUCAACCAACUCCUAUAAACUCGCGAGUGAUAGGAAAUCACUCAGCUUUUACCGCUUCCUACUUGAGCAAAGCAUCUACUCGGUCCAACAGCUAGUGUUCAGGUCAAGGGAGCUAGGUUAUGCAUCUAUGGUUCCAAACAACUCCUGUACGUAAAUGCACAAGCAUGUUAAAGAAGGCAUGCGCGAGUUUGGCAAAACAUAGGGGAUUCAUGCAUCCGGGGCUUGCCUUCAAGCGAGAAGGAAGGAAGCUGCUCUUCUGCUUGGGCGGCUUCGGCUUCUGGGGGCAGGAGCUCGGCUACAGCUCGUAGUAGUUGUCGGCGAGACGCAGCUCUACACGAAUGCAAUGCAUGGGUUAGCAUAGACGGUUAUUUCAACAGCAACACUUGCAAGUCUGAGCUCAGAAACUUGCGACAAGUUACAGGAGGGUGGGGAGGUUCAAAGGAGUUGAUGGAGGUCAAGAGGUAAGGGUCGGAGGGAAGGAACUUAUGAGCUGACUCGUAAACUAGAGGGUUUGAUGUACUAGGGGUCCUCAGACUCAACGCUGAAAGGUCCCCAAGUUUUACACAUACACCCUCGGUUCAAGAAAAAGACACAGCCGAGCCCUCGGGCGAGGCGGAGAAGGGUCGGCGGAACAGACAGGGUCAGGCGAGACGGAACCGGGGUCGGGCGGAUAAGAGGGGUCGGACGAAGCGAACAGGGGUCGGCAGCCUACCUUCGUCUUACAGAGGAGGCUUGGGCGGAAGAACUAAGGGCUUGGGACGGCGGCGAGAAUGUCCGGCGGCGGCGGUGCUUCUUGUGGAUCACAAGCAAGCUCUUGGGCAGCACUGAAAGCAGUGGCUGGUGGAUUGGAGAAAAGCGAUGGUGCUUGAGCAGAGAGAAGAGUUCCUCAGACUUAGGUGGUGGCGCUGUGAGCUCGAACAGGGAGCAAGAGAGAUGGCAGCUAGGGCAAGGGAAACUCCGGCGGGGCUUGCGCAUUCCCUUUUAUAGCGGCGCGGGAGUGAGAAGGGGAGCAGCGCGAAGGCCGGGGAAGAAGCAAUGGAGUGCUCUGCCCGGGCGGCGAUUGAGCGACGAGGGCGGUGGAGCAGGACUUCAGGGAUGACGCCGGCGGUCAUUGGGCACUGGCGUCAGGGCGGCGCAGGCGCGGGUUUGCCGGUGGUUGAGAUUUGGCGGAGGCGGGCGUCGUCGUGCGGUGGAUCUGAUGGAAGUGACCAGGAAAACGGCGCUAGGAACGAGGGCGCACAGGUGAGAAGACAGGCGGCUGCGGGCGCGCGGGCGAGCGCGGAGCAACAGAUUGUUGGGGCGGCUUCUGACAGGGCGGGAAAAGGAGCUGUCGCUGCCGCGGUCUGGGUUGGCGGAGGAGGAAUCGUCGUGUAGCGAAGACCGGGCGGCGCGACUGUGGCGAGGUGACGGAAAAGACGGGUGGCAUCGGCUCUGCGGCCGGGAUCUGGCGAUGUGAUAAUGGGCGCGGGCGGCGAGGUUCUGCAGAAAGGGUUGCAGAGGGGCUUCCGCUGCGAUUGGGGAGGAGGGCGCGGGAUUCCAUCCAGUCGCGGGCCGAGAACGAGGCGAAGCGGCGGACGUCAGAGGAGUUGAGCCACGCGGUGGGGGAACUCUGAAGCGGGCAUGCAACUCGAGUGCACCUGUCGCGGGAGAUCUGGGGGAAAAGAUCUAGUGGGCCCACCGGUCAGUCUCGGUGGUCCACUGCUCGAACUGGAGGACGAUGCGGCGGAAUGGCUUAGGAAGAUCCGACGGUGGGUUGGGGGUCGGCGGGGUCGGAACUGGGGAGACCAUGGCGAGGGGUCGGAUCGCAGGGGUCGGAAGAUCUGGAGAUUGAACACUUAGACUUGGAAAAAACCAAGACAGGUGAUCAGGGGCUCGGAUUAAGAUUGACACGAAGGAUUUUUGUCCGAGGCCGUCACAAAGAGAAGUCAAGCAGGGAGUCGCACGAGAUAUUUUAAAUGAGUCUUGCAUUUUUAGAUGACAGCCUUAUCGGGGAUAGAUCCCAAUACCCACGAGGAAUCCUAAUAAAAUUCCUCUGUAAUCCUACUAGAACUCAUACCAUGUAAUCCUACUAGGAUUCCUACCUUGUAACCGACUAGUAAUCCCGCUCCCUGAGUAUAUAAAGGAGGGCAGAAGUCCCUAGAUCGGUAGGCCAAGACCUCAUAGAACCAUAACAAAGGACCAAAUCCUCAACACCAAACAACACCCAAGCGCAGGGCGCAAUAUACAACACCCCAAAUAGGACGUAAUGUAUUAUGCUACUCUGGUGGCCCGAACCUAUAUAAAUCCGUGUCUUGUGUCCUCACUUUUACUUUUAAGUUCCAGGUCCGACGAUUCCCCACCAACCAAUCUAUUACCUCAGGAUACCCCUCGUUAGUUUACCGGGUAUAAAACACCGACAAGCCCUUUACAAACAUAUUUUUUCAAAGAAAGGUCCUUUAGGUAGGUAAUAAGGGCAUUGAAAUAAAUAAAAAGCUUUAAUGCAGUCCUCCUGAUUGGAUUAUAUUCAACGCACAAGACAUUAUCCAAAAAAAAGGUACAAAAUGAUAUGCAAAAAUCAAAUUUGUGGUUGAUAACCAUAAUUUAUAAGUCCAUACAUUAAUUAAUUAAUUUGCAAAUAUCUAAAUAGAUAUUACUCUUAGAAUUCUCAACUACAGCCAUUACAAUCAUCAACCUAAUAAAACUCAACUAUAGCUAUUACUCUUCUAUAAAUUAUCCAAAUAUAACAUCAAAAGUACAUAUUAAGUCAUAUUAAAAUAUAAAUAGCUACAUAUAGACCAUAUUAUACAGUAUGGUAAUAUAUCCAUGUAAUUUUUAUGUACCCAUGGUAACGCACGUGCAAGUUUUGUAUAAAAUAAACAGCACUACAGAACACGUGACAAAUCGUGGCUACGAAAACGAUGUUGUUUGUGGGCUUGUGGCUCGCUCGACCCGUGCAGUAACUGCGCGCACAAUUUGUCUCACUGACGUGUGGGCUAGCAGAGUGUAGGGCCAACCGGCCCACGACAAUGGCACAACUGCACGUGCAGUGAUCUCUAUCCUCCUUGGCGCCAAAAUGGUGUUCGAUCAUGAUGGGGAGUCGCCGAGGAUUAGUCACUUGGGUGCUAAUUGUGGAGUGGUUUAAUCUACUGAUGCUUCACCUGAAUAUGGCUUUCGUAGAUGAAAAGAGAACAAUGAAAAAUGGUUCUAGAUGUGUUGGUAAACACUUGAAGUGCCUGGAAUUUAAAGUUUAUUCGUGCAUAUACAUAAAAUGUAUUAUACUUCCUUUGGUUCAAAAUAUAGAUCGCUCUAUAAUUUCUGCUGGCCAAUUUUAUUAAAAACAAACUUUGACCAUCAAUGUAAAACCUUUUACAAAAGUUAAUAGAUGUCCCUAGAUUCACCAUGAAAAGUAUAUUUAAUAUAUUUAAUUAUCAUUAUUAGAAAAACGUCAUAGUCUUAUACAAAUUAUUGGUUAAAACAUCACCUAGUAGACCAUGUUGAUGUCCUCAAAUGACGUAAAAGGAAACGUGUUCGAGAAUCAUGAUUAGACUGUUCUAGCAGUACUAACUGUUUCUUAUAAAAGGACCAUGUUGAUCGGCAACGCACAGUCGGCUCGCUUGCUCCUGGGCUCACGUCAGGCAGGGAGUUGUGGACGGGAAAUCAGGUGACGGCCAAUGCUGGUGCGCUAGGUGAACUAGCUACAAAAUAGCCAUUCUGUGACCGGCCACGAAGUAUACAUUCCCGAAAAACUUCACUCUAUAAAUGUCCUAUAUAUAGCUUAAUGGCCUAAAUGUUUCAGGAGCACAAAAUGUUUGUUCCCAAAUAAUACGAUGAGACACAUGACAUGACGGUAAAACAACUUAUUAUAAGACCCAUUAAUAAUGAUUCAACUGUGAAUGGAUCAACGGUCAAAAAAUCAUCCCGUGAACAAGUUUACAGGCGCGUAAAAUAUAGAAGGUGUGCAAAAUAAACUAGUUUGCUUCUCAUUGUAACUCACGGUACAAGGUUACCUUAUUUCAUGUAAACGGGGGCAGGGGAUUUGGGGGGGGGGGGGGGGGGGGAUUUUGACAAUGGGUAUUCAAAAUUUCAUAUGGUAGAAAAAGCUUAGGGUAUAGAUUCAUUUAUAGACGAAGUAAAAAUCUCUGGCUCAGGUUAUCUCUUCUUUGCCGCUGAAUAAGAGGAGGAGAGAUUGGAAAGCCUAUUUUGUGGUGCUUUGUUUUUAGUUUUUGAAUACAUAUACAUAUUUAUAGACUACUGAUGCAAAGUGUUUUGUCAAAAAUAAUGGGUAUUCAUUUGAGCCCCCCUCCGCGGGGGGGGGGGGGGGGGGGGGGGGGGGGAGGAGGGCUCUAUCCCCCUAUAGGGGUGCAGUCCAUGGAGCUCGGCCUAAGACCAUCCUAUUAUAUAUUUCUCUAGCCAUGGAUGAAGGAGUGGAAUAAAAAACACAGAGGGGGAAGAAGAGAAAGGAGUGGAAUUAAAAAAAACAGAGGGGGAAGAAGAGAAAUAAGGAAGGAUGAGCAAAUAAGCCCUAGGAUGCUGCCCACCUCCGCUAAAGUAGAUCAAUCCAACAAAUUCUAGAUGAUAUACAUUAUUAAACAUAAAUUAUAUUUUGCUAAAUUAGUAAAUAUGCAUUCAUAAUUGGCUAAUAACUACAUGACUUCAGUUUACAGAAUUUCAUUUUCACAAAUUCUAUGCCUUCCAUAUACUGAUGAAGGAGCGAAGCCAUAAACAAUCGAGGCUAGAAGAUAACAUAUGAGUUAAUAGGGUCAAAAUUUAAUUCUUCCUUAAUUUAUAUAUAUGGUAAAAUCAUCAUUGAAGUUUGUCUACCAUUGGGGGCCCAAGCCCCCCCUCUG